UUACUCAAAUAAUAAAAAGAUGCAUAAUCAUAAAAACCCAAAUAAAGAUUUUGUGCUUAUAUAUAUCUUUGCUUAGUUUGCUAAAUAAAUAAAUAAAUAAAUAAAGUUUGCUAUGAACCCUCACGAUAAGCUCUCACAUGGAAAAGAUAAAUAGUUGCUCUGCCAUGAUUAGUUCUCAAAAUUAAAAUCUCUCUCAAGUUUAGGCACGACUGUUAUUAAUUAAGAUUUGCUCUAAACCUGAACUUGUGGGGAAAGUACUUGAUCUAAAGUCUAAGUCGUUAACGGAUACGAUAUGGGAAGGUUGAGCUGCUGUUUAUCUGUUCCUAGAGAUGCUAAAAUUCUGGAGAAUUUUAUCUUUAAAAAUCUUUAAAAUAUCACAUGAUGAGUUCCUGUAUGAUGAAAGUUUAAAUUCCUACCACAGCCAUAUAUACAUGCUUGCUAGACUUUGAGCCACACAUUUACUUUUUACUGCUUAUGAGCAUUGAGUGUGGUCAAGCUAUGUAGACCCUUAGGAGCUUGUCAUGUGAUUAAAUCAAGAUUCACUUGCACGUUCACUCAUACAUGCUACUUCUACUUCGGAAGUACGCAUCCACAUAUAUCCAUCCAUUUCCAUCUCCAGAACCACCCAAAAAUAUUCUACUCCUAAUCUGGGAGAGAAUAGCCAAAAACAUUUCUGUUUUUCCCCUGUGAAAUAAAUGCUCAAGUUAUCUUGUUACUACCACUUGCUAUAUUAUCUCAUGAGAUGAGUGCUCUAAAAAAAUGAGAGAAAAAAAGUAUACGAGGAAAUAAAAAGGGGCAAGUGCUCGGAACCUCGAAAUAGAAAAAAUGUGAGACGAGAGGUAAAAAUGGACAAGUGUCCGACAGUAGAAUUAGGGGUACAAGAUACCCACCUGAGAGGAAAGAAAAAGAAAAUACAGAGCAUCUCAUUCUCCCCAAAAGUUUCAAAAGAGCAAGGAAGGUAUGUAUCCCCUCAAAAGAGCAAAAGUAGAAUUAGACUUUCACCAUUGUUAUCACCAUCAUUACCAUGCAUCAUUCAUUCGCCACACAUGCAUAUCUUGAUUUGACUUAUUGACUUGUUUCUCUGGAUCCAUGGUUUGACUAUGCAAUAAAUGUCUUGUAAGUAUGCAUUAGCUGUCUCCCACCUAUGAGCUCCAGAUAUCAAAGCCUAAUUAGAGUAGGGUGAGAGAGAAGGCAAUGCCACUAUGCCUCAUACCAAAAAUACCACAUACUUUGAGAGAAGGCAUAUACCAUUACUGCCUUGGUAAGGAUCCAGAAAUACCACAAAAGAGAGACUAGAGAGAGUCAUACAAGGAAUCUCUGAGUUUUAUUUGAAAAUCUGCAAAAACUCCAGAGCUAUAGUUAAUCGAAGAACAAGAGACAUGGAGCUUGAUUAGACCGUUCUAUCUUUUAACUGCUCAAGACACAAGUGAUGGUUACAAGCCCCAUGGUGGAAGGUAAAAUGAGUAAGUUUAAAUCUUAACAGUUUACCCUAACCUAGAGAUGAGAUCUUGUUUGAACGCAUAUGUGUAUCUUUAAGGCAUGAAACCACUGCAGAAACUCUUGAGUCCAUCUUUGCUCAGGGACAAGCAAAGGUUAAGCUUGGGGGAGCUUGUUGACGGUCCUUAAUGCUCACAUUUAACCAUCAACUAAUCAUGGAAAAGGAUCCAAAUGCAGCCAACACCUAGACUUGGGGUUUUAUCUGACAGAAUUCCAUGAGUUUUGGUGUUUGUGUAUUUCUACAGGGGGUUAUCAGGAAAUACGGAAGAAAGGACCACACGUCGGGUUUACAUAGAGAUAUUAACGUGCCCCGCAAUUUUCUGUCAUUUAGAAGACUCCAGAAGCCACGGGAACAAAGCGGAAGCCGAGAGGCCUCAGGGACAGGGCGCCCGCCCUAGUCCUGAGGGCGCCCGCCCACCUUUUUCCACCAAACAGAGUCCAAUUCGGGGACAACGCUCCACCGUCUUAAAGGAUCAAGGAAAACCGUGUGAUCAAUGUCGGUUUGAUCCGACGGCCCAGAUUCACUUGAUGGGACUAUAAAACCAGACCCCCUGGCCCCUAGAGAUCAUACCUCUUCUACAGAAUCAAAGUUAAGGUUUCAAUUCUUCAUCCAAGUAGAGAAGAUCCCUCUAGUUCUUCUAGUUCUACCUCUAGUUCGUCUAGAUCUAGUUCUAGUUCAUCUAGUUCUAGUUCUAGUUCCUCUAGUUCUAGUUCUAGUUAGUUCUAGUGGUAAUCUAGAAAAUAGGGAGGGAGAAGAGGAGAGUGGAGGAGGAGGAGCCGGAUCUGUCGGAUCUUCCUCAACAUUGUACUUUUGCAGCAUCUCGUUCGUUCUUCAUCGUUCUCCAGGUUCUUCAAUUCAUAGCUCCUGAGUUCUCUAAUUACUUUUAUUUACAUUCAAGUUAUUUAUUGGAUUCCUGCUUGCAUCAAGUGCUCUAGUGUUUGAAACAUUAGAGUAGUAAUUAAUAGAUUAGACGUGGUGUUUAGUCUUGCGACUAGCUGGAAUUGCACCCAAUCCUGCGGAUUGUUGUGGGAGCCUUAGGGUACUGACAGCCCUAACGGUCGACGUAUUCCACCUCGUUCGGAUCGUUGUUUGUAGGACCGUAGUCGGAGCUUCCUAGCCCCCUUCUCAUCUCUUUCUGUGGUUAGUGUUCUAAUGUCCCGAAAUAGAUAAUCUUGAAGUAAUUCUUGAUUCUUAGAUCAACUAGAGAACUUUCAGGAAACUUCCUCUCUUCCCACCAAAAAUAAUUAUAUAGUUAUCCUUGGGCGAUCUUGGAUCUUAAUUAGUACACUCACGUUCUCUGUGGAAAAUCGAUACUCUGGAAUAUUCCCGGGUGAAAGCUACAUCGGUAUCCGUGCGCUUGCGGAUUUUUCUGUUUGCGUUUAAAAUACCCAACAGUGGCCUCCUUCCGAUCGGAACCCGCGAUCCUCCUUCGUCCUGGUCGAGUAGAGAAAGAAGGAGGGACCUCGGGUUAGAAUAUGAAACAACUCAGAGUUCAAGAUGCAAAGCCAAUACUCAUAUGAAUAGUGUUUCUGGGCGGUGGCGUGAUUCCUGGAAAAUCCAGGGUUCCCGAGGCAAAAGUGUUUUCUUUUUUCCUUUUGUUUUUGCAGAUUUCUGGUUGAACUUUGUUAAUGCAUAGAAAAUGCUAGAAAAGUCAUAAAAUAGCAAAUGUGGACUUUUUGGAAUCCUUGUAAAAUUCUUUAUAUAGUAGAUCUAUAAUAUUGCAUGUUUUAGUUUGAAGUUUUAACAGUAAAAAUAGAUCUGUGCAGUUCGGUUUUAAUUGCUUGUUAUAUUUGUCUUUUUCAUAACCACUGUAUUACUGCUCAAAUAAUUGUGAAAAUAAUGUAAAAUCAUUUACAUAUAAUGCUUGAUGUCUGGUAAAAGUUCCAUGAAUUUAGGCAUGAUAGAUUAAGAGUCAUAAAAAUAACAAUUGCCCUAUGUUGCUUUGCUCCUAUUCUGAGUAGAUCUGCAUGUUUAUAUUGUUUGGCUCAGUUGGGUUGUGAAUCAUGCCUGGAUGAAAAUAUAUGAGUUGUAGUACUUUUCAUAAGCUUUCCAUCAAGCUAAAUAGCAGAAAUUUUGGUUAAGCAUAUGUUUAGUUAUAGUAGUUUAAAUUACUGUUUCAGUUUCUGUCUAAACCCAGACAGGGAUGCAUUGUUUGUUAUGUAAAUCCUUGUUAGUGGUAGAUUUAGGUCUAGAUGUUUAUAACAAAGUUGUUAACAAUUUAGUAAGCUUUCUAGAAAGUAUAUAACCAUAAUUUAUAGGCAUAUGAAAACCAAGUUAUGGCUGUUUAAUGUGGCAUGAUAGAUUCUGUCCAUGUUUUGAACAGAGAUGUCUUCAUGGGGCUUGAUAAAUGGUUUAUAAUUGUAAAUAAAAAUCUAAAAAAAUGGAAAAUAUUUUUCCAGCACAAUUCUAUGAUAUUUUUGUAUCAUGUUAAUAUAUAAUAUUGUCAUGUGUUUGAAGAAAAUAUGAUUUAUGCAUUUAUCUUGCUCUCACAUGGUUAAUUGCAAUAGCAAUUUAUCUUUUUCCUAGAUGUUGAUAAGUUUAUUCAAAUGCAAUGAAAUUUGGGCAGUAGACUAUGGAUAGUGUGUCGAAGCUACUGUAAUUUUUGUAGAGUUUACUAUGCAAUUUUGGUAUAUGUUCUUUAAUUCACCUUAUUAUCCAAAUAAAUUAAGAAUGGCAUUAAAUAAAUUUAUUUGGUAAUGACCACUAUGUUUUCUGGUGUUCUUUAGAUAUGUGCAAACUGUUGGUAACAAUGGUUUUGCUCAAAUGCAUGUUUGAAACAUAAGUUAAUAGUUAAUUGUUUGCAAUUGUUGUUUCUGGACAGUUUCUGAAACUGUUUGGAUUACAAUAUGUAAAUGAUGUUUUCUGGGAAUCUUGUUUACAGCAACGUUGUAGAUAAUUCAUCUAUCUAGCUGCUGAUAAAAUUUGGUGGUAUUUGGCCUUGUGGUUUGUGAGUUCUGUCUGUUCAAAGUUGAAUUCCAGAAAUGGUUGCUCUCUGUUUGUCAGGGACAGAUUUUGGAACUUUAUAAUUUCGACCAGCUUAAGUUGAGAAUCAUGCUUUGAUGUCUACAUAUAAAAUGUAGAUAAUUUCAUAAGCUUUGCAGAAUGUCUUAAUUCAUGUAUUUUGGAGUUGUGUAACGCCGGUUAUGAUGUAUUUUCACAGCUUUUGUUAACAGUCCUAAAAAUGACGGAUUCCUUGUAUUGUUGUUGCUUGGUAUAUUGUUAUGUAUUACUCAUGUCGUUGAUAAUGGCCAAGUUAAUACACGAGCCCUUGUGAAAUAUGUAUACCAUUUCUAAUAUGUUUAGUGUUGCAUUCCUUGUUGACUUAGCAUGUUGGUUUUGUAAUCAUUAAGUUGAGCAAUGAGAUGUGCUUAAGUAUGUUUAUUGUAACCAUGCUUCUUGUGUGUGAUGCUUUGUCUAUUGCACUUCUAUGUGUUCAUACACUUGCAUCUUGCAUCUCAUUUAGGUACGCUAGAUAAACCAUGUGAAGGACGUGAUAGUGGACCUAUCGGGAUGACGGAAGGACUACACAAGUGUCGCGAACUUGGAUGUCGUCAAGAUGGCGCAAGCUAACUUAAUUGACUUGUGUCGGAUUCCAGGCAAGCUCUGGAGCAUUCUAAGUCUCCUACCCUCUCUUUUUAUAAAAGCACAAGAGUAUAACUUUAUAUGAUGCAUUAGGUGAUAGGAGUUGAAUGAAACCAUUGGUGCAUAUGUCCCACCUUGUCCACUAUAUAAAACUACCUAAACCCUUACUAGUAUAAGGAAGACGUUCUAUGCUUAGCUAUGCUUAGAUCGGUAGAAGCCAGGUGAUUUCCUGUCACCUGCGAGAGAUAGGUGGAUAGUUGAUCACGGUUGGCUAUAUUUGCUAUCGUGGAAAUGACCAUGUGCUAAUAAUGAAUUUGAGACCGGGCGGGAUGAUGAUAGUGAAGCAACAAGUCAUGGAGGUCUUGGGUGUGAAUCUAUCCCCGUCUGUGUCGAUUAAGGACCGAUACGCUGUACGUACUCGUGUCAUGUUGAACGCAUGCCUACCACUUAGUUGGUCGCAUAAGUCAUUCGUUCCGACCGUGAAGCCAACGAGUGCAUCGCCGGCCGGAUACCCCGAUCUGGUUAAAGUGCGCUUCCCUGUUGGUAGCAAGGAUGUGCAGGGAGUCAAUGGUGUAAGACCAAGGAGUCAGGUUAGAGUCCUGACCCUAGCAUAUUGGCGGUCCCUGGGGGUGCAGCGCCGUACGGACCCGCGAAUUGGUCCGGAGUUGUGCUAAAAGUGACCUAAGGCUGCUCUUGCAAAGUACGCUGGGGUGAGUGCUAGGAAUACCCCUCCAGCUGGAUAGGAAUCGAUUCGAAUCGCCGUCUCUCCCAGAUAGUGAGAACUUGACUCGAGCAGCGGCAACGUAGAUACACUAAAUAAAACUUAAUGGUUAUGAUGAUGAUGAUGAUGGCUACAUGAUAAACCUGAUAUGGUUAUUAAUGUGAUGCUUAUUAAUCAAGUGAUUGCUAUAGAAUAGGUGCAAAUCUAGCUAUGGUAGCUUUAUUGAACUUGAUGCUGAAAUAUUGACUAAAAGGGUGAAGGUAAGGACUCAUGAUAGUAAUGCUCUUUUUGGCAAAGUUAUGCUAUCCCACCAACUCCACCAAAUAGCCUUGCAUAUCCUUGAGAGUCUUUUACUUUCUCUCGUGUCGGGUAAGUCUAGCUGAGUACAUUCGAUUACUCAGGGUUUAUCCCACCAUGUUGCAGGUGAAGUCUUCAGCCUGCUAAGGAUGGUGGUUAACCGCCGGUGGGCUCGGUGAUUCUAUAUAGUGUUCUCAUCUACAUGCUUUUGUCGGAGGAUGUCCCUUAUGCUAGCAAUGUAUUUGGAACUUAUGUUAUUUUCUAAUCAAUUUAGAAAAAUCCAAACUUGUACUAUUAUUUGUGAACUCCGUUGUAAUAUUAUUUCCACUGCAAAUCUCCGUGUAUGUGAUGUGUAUUUGCUUAAUCAUGCGAUCUUGGUGUAACGUUGAUUUACCGAGGUCCUUCGCGACACUCGGCAGACUACCGGGUUUAUAUAAGUGAGAGUAUGCGCGUGUCAACGUGUUGAAUGGGGACAGUCGUACUUAAACUUGUAUAAAUUGUUUGGUUCUGUCACAUUCUAUAGUUACAUUUGUUUCAAACGUUAAGUAAACGAAACUGGUCCAGAUCUUUGAUAGCACAACUGUAUCAUCUUGUGACUUUUGUAACUUCCAAACCGUAAUAGCUAUGAGGGUGAUUCUUGCAGUCAGAGAAAGAUCUUGAAGUCCGCUAUCAUCAAAAUUUUCUCAUGAUUUUUGGUCACCACAGAACAGAGUUACAAACUGAUAAAGAUAGAAUACUCCAGAAAGGCAGGAUAAGAUAACAAGAGAAAAACGAAAACCCAACUAUUUAUGUCAUUAAUCCUUAUACCAUAGACCUAUAAACUAAUGAAAUUGUGGAUAAAACCCACAAGAUCGUUGCACUCAUUACAAAGAUCCAAAUCAAGCAUAGGCAUAAAGACAAACCAACUAAGCAUUAAAGGUUCACAAGGCACACAAACUCAACUUUCGCUACUAGCGUUUUUAUUGCACAAGAGGACACAAACUCAUAUAUCUUAAACUCAGUGUUUCUACUUUCAUGAUGCAUCUAUUGAUUCUUUUGUGGACAUGAGUUUACAUAAUGUCCUUCUUGCCGGCAGUGAUAACACCUUCUCUUAGCUGGAUCCUUUGUGAUGUCAUUUUCCACUGAUGUGUUACUCGGUGUGUUAUCAGCUCGCUGACUCUGAAGGUUUAUCUUUGUCUGGGUAGAUGUCUUCCUAUAUUGCUUGUUCCUUCGAGGUUGAAACUCUUUAUAAGUUAUUGUCCACCCAUCUAUGCAUACCUCAUGCGCAGUGGUGUUGGCUUGAGGAGUUACUUUAUCGCUAAGGUUUGAAUUUUCCUGACAAAAAUUUGAAGCUAAAUGUGACAACGUAGGAUUUGAAUGUUGAUCGCUUUCCAUUGCUGGUUCUAGUGAUUUUGCCUUCCUCUUCUUAUCCUCAUUAGUCACACAAUUUGGUUUUGUCUUAACUUCUUUUUAGAUGACCUAUUCUGAAGACAAGGGAGACCAUAAUGCUCACAACAGUGGCAUUGAUCCUGAUAUCCGGAUGUAUUACUACCAACACCUGCAUGGGCUCUCAUAUUUUUCCAAGAUUUAGCUACUUGUCUCUUCACUGGUCCUGAGAUGCACUGUUGAGAGUUCCCAAUGUGAGUCAUUCCUGCCACCACUUGUGUUUGCAUGGCUAGAAGCUUCUCCUUGUCGAAUGCUUUUACGGUUGGCAUCUCUCGGUGCUUUUGUCUUUUUGUUGCAAUGGUCUCCUCAUUAUGAGCCAUCUAAAUAGACAAAGAGAGAGGAUUUAGAGUAGAGACAAGGUUUUAUAAAAGAACAGGCAGAAGUAAGCAUAACUUUUAGAAAUUAUCAAUGUUAAAGGGAAAGCAAGAAGUAAGCAAAGAUAGAAGCAUGCUAAAACGUCCGGUUCUAACUAGGCUUGCGUCCUACAGUCAACAUUGCUUUGAUACCACUUUAUAAUACCCAAUUUUGAGAAUAAAACUAGAUAUGCACCAUAUGUGAGUCUUAGAAGUCGAAUCUCACAUAUAGCUGGGUUGGGCUGAAAUGAAAUUCUUCUGCAGGUACGCUAACCCCGAAUGCAUAGGUUGAAUGUAGUUAACGACUAGCUAUAUGUCCAGAGAGUACGUGUUAUGCCACCGACAUAGAACGUGAUUGCCACCAUAGGCUGGCAAUUUUGUGAGGACGAAUAAGACGAAACAUGCAUCCUUAUGAUUGUUGCAUUAUGUAUGACAAUGCUUCUCCCACCUUGUUCCAAUAAUUUGUAACUUGUGAGUGAUGUGAUGCUACUCUUUUCGUUGUGUGAAGCUAUACAAAAGUUGCCAUAUUCCAUGCUACUUGAAUAGUUUUGCUUGGCAGUAGUGUGUGAUGUGUCUAGCCUUGAAAUGUUUGCUUCUAUAAGAAUCUACAAUCCUUUGAAAGCUAAAGCUUGUCGGUUAACAUGUAUGUGAAUGUUUUCCAAUGAAUCCUCUAAUGUUAAUUAACUAAGUAAAAGUAUGGCCUACCUAUAAUAUAAAUAGUUAAGGCUAUAGGCUUUAACUUGUAGGUGUCCCCUUGUUUAGCCAAAAGGCGAAUACGUUGCUCAUGCAAGAGUUUGCAAAUGCUUUAACCUCACUUAAGCAAUUGUGGUUCUUAUGUUAACCCCUCCUUGUCACCAAACUAAAUUAUUAUUUGUCAAGAUAGUAAUGUUUGUAGCUACUAGAGUUAUACAUGUGUGUGCUCUCUUGUUAAUAGAACAAGGGAAAACAUUGCUUGAUAUGUGUGUUGAGUUUUGGCUGCUAGAGCAGUUUGUAUUCUAGUGGUGUUUUCAUGACAAUAGUGGUGUUUUGUGUAAUUAUAGUGAAUACCAUAGUUGUAGCCAAUCUCUACAUCUAGUUUAUCCUAAAAUUUCAUGACUAUAGGCCUGAUGGUUUAGGAGUUAUGAACUUUUGAAGUUUGUUGUCAGAUCCUGAUCGUGUUCUGAACAGAUCUGAAUGUUUAGUUUGUUUGACUAGUAUGCAUAUAGAAUCAUGUUUUGGAGUUAAUAGAAGAACUGUAGUACUUUUGUUAAGGUUUCCAAAAUGUCUUAGAUACUACUUUUGGUGGUUGUUGACGGUCCUUAAGUAUCAAAUAUAAUCAUCAAAUAAAUAAAGAAAAGGAUCAAAAUGCAACCAACACCUAAACUUAGGGUUUUAUCUGACAGAAUUCCACGAGUUUUGGUGUUUGUCUAUUUCUGCAGGGGGUUAUCAGGAAAUAUGGAAGAAAGGCCCACACGUCGGGAUUACAUAGAGAUAUUAAUGUGCCGCGCAAUUUUCUAUCAUCUAGAAGACUCCAGAAGCCACGAGAACGAACGGGAGGCCGAACGGGCCCGGGGGCAGGGCGCCCGCCCUCUCCCCUUGGGCGCCCGCCCAGGUGUUUCCACCAAUCACAGAAUGGAGUACACCAUUGCAAAGAUCUCGUCGAGCUGAUCGAAAUGCAUAUAUUAUUUGCUAUAUUUGGAGUUCGGAAUCAAGAGAUAUUAAUAAAAGAAGGACUCCAUAUAAAAGAGCUGCGGGAUUAAUUGGGCCCAAAUCAGAUUUUGGUCCAUUAAGGCCUAUGUGCAUUUUAAUGAAAUAUGGUGGAAAGUUUAGUACCACAUCGCCUGCUGAACCAAAAACACAUAGAGGAGGAGGACUAUAUAAGAAGACCCCCUGGCCCCUGGAGAAGACAAGAAAUUAUCAUAGAGAUUGAGGGGUGCACUCGAAGGAAAACCUCUUCUCUAAAUAAUAUUUCUUUUUAGGCUUAGCAACCAAUGUAAAGUAGAAAUAGAUCUUCUAGUUUCUACUAGAUUGAGAGAGAUAGAGUGGAGGUGUGGAUCGGAGGAAGGCCGGCCUGUCGGUGUCUACUCCGAGUUGUACCUACGGGAUCAAGUCUCCUAACCCGAGGCUUGCUUCUAAGAUUCUUCAGUAAUUCGACUUCUAAUGCUAGUAAGUUCUUGUUUUAUUGUUCUUUGGUUUAUGAGUUUACUUUAAUCCUCUUCCGGUUGAGUAUUAGAGUAAUCACUUGCUAGCGUAAACGUGGUGUUUAGGCUAGGGUACUCAUAGAUAUCCCCUGACUAGCUAGACCGUGGUAGUAGCGAGGAACGUGACAUUUCUGAGUUACCUUUGUAUCCCAUAUCUUGUUAGCAGGACGGGUAGGUUUAUAGGUGCGGGUCGAACAUCCUCUGUGUUGUCUAGAUUCCGUGAGCCUCCCCAAUAGAACAGUAGAUCAUCCUUACCAAGGUUAGAAUGAGACUACGGUUGCAGUCUUCUCUAUACAUCGCUCACAUCGAGAAACAUUCUUUGUAGCCUAAAGGGGUAAUAGCAAUAGAUUUGGUUAGUCAGAUGCACCCUUUCUCCCAGUGGUAAAAAUAUAAAUACGAUAACUCUGGAUAACCUCUCGGGUGAAAUGCUCACCGAUAUCCGUGCGCUUGCGGAUCAUUUCCUUAUUGCGUUACCAAAUAUCAACAAGCAUUUCAGGCGCCGUUGCCGGGGAGAAAGACGGUUUGCUAAGAUAACUUUGAGUCUUGCUAUUAUCUUGUAUUAUACUUUUAUACUUUUAUUCUUUUAUCUUUUUAUUUUUAUCUUUAUGGAUAACUCAAAUUCCAUACCUAUUAUUGAAUUCUUUGCACCUUCGGAGACCAGCCAUAGACCAUGGGAGUCAACACGUCCUGCCCCUAAUUAUGAUCUGUGUCCGGAGUUGAUUGCAAUAGGUCAAAACCAACCCUUUUCUAUAGCUGAGGUCCUAUCUUUUAAUCAAGAAGAUAAUGCACUUUUAGCUACACCUAGGGAAUCUUUUAAUCUUUCUAUAAAUUUUGGUUUAGACCUAGCCCUACAAGACCAUGUUUUUCCUAGAUAUUUUCACAUUGGUCUUAAUCAUAUAACCUUUGGUAGAGUCCUUCUUUCUUUAUCUAUUAGUAAAGGAAGGUAUGUCUUCAUUCGUGGACAUCCUUCUUGUACUAGUCUUCAUAAAAAAUUCCUAGAGAUAGAGAAGGAAUCAUCUCCCAGACGAGGAAAGGAAGUUUCAAUAGCCAAUUUCCCAAUAUUUCAAUCCCAUAAUUCGGCUAUCCAACCCAUCCUUGAGCUCAAUAAUUUCUACUAUGCUCUUGAACCUCCUGAUAAUCCUAUGAAUCUAUCUAGACAUUCCAUUCACCAAGACUACAAGGAGGAUCGAGAAGAGCAACAUCGAUGGCUAGAGGGCAUUAAAAAUCCAUGUGCUAUCACCAUUGAAUGGAUAGAUAAAACAAACUUGAGAGACAAUCCUAGAGGAAUUUUAAGCAUUCAUGAAGAAUCAUCCUUGGAGUUUGAGAAUGAGAGAAACAACAGUGAGCAUAGAAGUUAUUUCAUAAAUACCUUACGAAGUCCUUGCUCAUAUAAAACAUCUCCCCAAUCAUUUGGUCUCUCCAUCCUUACCACAUUUGAGAUCUCCAACCCCCUCUUCCUUUCUAUUUAUAAAAACUUUAAAAGGGCGGUUGUCGAUGCAUAUGUCUAUAAUAAAUAUUGCAGAUCUCGUUGAGUUGAUCUUGAUAUAGGUAGGUGUUGGAGGGGAAACCACUUCACCAACAUGGUUUCCCAAGGAUAAGCUUAGCGUCCUUAAACAAGCACUUAUCAUAACAUGAACUUUUAUAUAUUUGCAAACAUUGCCUUGUGUAUUGAGCAUAUAAAGAUAAUUGUAGAAAUAUUCCUUCCGGUAUUCUUGCCACUAACCUUUCCAGGAUUGGAGCAAGAAGAUCCGAGGAAUGACAAAGGCAAGGUAUGUCCAACCAAUCAUCAUGCAACAUUAAAUUAAAUUCAUCCAAUCUUGAAUUUUGCAAAAUUCAAGCUUGGGGGAAAUACCUUACAUAAAAACAUCAUUUGCCAUGUUGCUAUGUUGGUUGUCCCUACCUUUGAGACAUGCUUGAUUUGUUAAAUACUAAUCACACUACUUCAUCUCCACUUGAGUAGUUCUCUAUAAAAGCCAUCAUGCUAGUUUAUCCUAGUAAGUGUUAGUUUGGAAGUACUGUACAUACUUCUAUUGGCUUUUAAAUUAAGCGUGGUGCUUAGGUUAAAUAGCCUUCCUUAAUCUGAUUAGACAUGGAGUCUAGUUUGGUUACUGAACUAAAAACUGCUUGAGUAGAUAUUGGUAUAUUUUGUGGGACUAACCCCUGCAGAAGAACUUUCAAUAUCAACCUGGGAAGUCCUGAGAUAAGCUCACAUUGGAGAUGAAGAAAGUGACACAUGAAGUUUAACAAUUUGCACAAGAAAGACGUAGCUCAUAAGAGAUGAUUCAUGGAGGGUGCCACAAACACGAUGCACAACCACUAAGAAAGGAAAGCUUCCACAAGGUGAUACUAUACCAUCACUCUUCAAUAACAUCUUAAAGUACUUGAUUAUCACUUUUAUAAGUUCUCCUUGGUUCUGGCAUACACAUGAAUAAAAGAGACAAACAUGUAAGAUUUAUAACUCCAAAUUAACCAACUCAAUUAAUUCAGCAUGUUUAGUCCUUUAAUCUUUGUUCUUAGUACUACCUUCGUGAUCCCACACUCCUAAUCAUAUAAGUUAAAGUAUUGCACAUUCAAUCUUUGGAAGAUAUAAACAAAACAUAAAUAUAGAUAGAUUAUCUUUCCAUUAGGUUGAGCCAUCUGAUCUAACAAAUGUUUUAAAUGCUACACUCAUGAUCCAUCAACUUUGUCUUGCUCACUAUGCUUAAGGUUAGAGAAGAACAAAUACACUUUUGGUUCUGUUGGUGUUUUCCACCAACAGGGCCCAUGCACUUGAUCUCUACCUUGUCUCUAUGAGCAGGAACAAUUCGAGCAUAAUAUGAAGGAGUUUUACAACUCCCAGAUUCCACCAAGUGAAGAACUAGGAUCUACGAGCACAAACACACUGGAGAUACUGGACGCUCAGGCAAUCACUGCCCUGAGAUGUUUGAGGACGUGAACUACAUCAACAACAAUAAUAACUAUUACUACAACCGUCCUCAACAACAUCAAGGUUGGAAUCAACAGAGGCCUAAUUACUCAGAGAGGUGAUCUAGGACGCCCCGUGUUGAUGCAAAACUGAUCUGCAAACACAAAGGGCUAAUACCCGAUUCAAACGUUAAGGCGUGCCAGCCGAUUUGACCUUGCUAUCGGCAAAGGUGAUAACUCGAAUACUUUAGUCCUGACAACAGCGAUGCGCCCGGAUGUCACGGCUAAGAGGUACUCACGCGGAACUCGAGAACACGGUGAGCUUAAGUCGACGAAUUCCUAAGAACUCGUAAUAAAAAGAAAAAAGUAUGACGAAGUCGUCGAAAAGUAGAUGCUGGAAUAUGAGUAAAAACGUGUGUUUGAUUGAUUUCUUGAUUGAUUAUUACAAGGUCCUAGGGUUUAUAUUUAUACCCUGCUCAAAGAGCUACAACCAGACACGAUUAGAAUUCGAAUUCCAAAUUACACGGAAUCUGUAUACAAAACGACGCAAAUAAUUAAGGAAAUAAUAAAACUAUCCUUCGUGACAAACCGAAACCCCUCCACAUGACAACUGGCAGCUUCCGGACUCCUCCUUCGCAUCAUCGGCAAUCCCCUUGCCAUAGUCAUCGGCAGACCUUUUUAUCCAGCCAUCGGCACCAUAUUACUGCCUGUGGACUUAGUCACAUUCAACUUCUCCCUCAUCGGCAACCAUCCUCAUCAGCAACCCGCAUCGUACUGUCACCCUAUCCUGCCAUCCUAGACACGUGCCCAAAAACGGUGUCAACACAUGCCCCCCAAUUUCGGAGUAUAAAACUAUUAAUGCUCCGAAAUUCUCUGCAGUAAUGAUGCCUUCUCCGCAAUUAAUGCUCCUAUUCUGGUAACCGACAACCUCAAUCUGGACAACUCUGAUCCUAAUCCUCCGCAGAUUCCUCGAAAUCCCCAACUUCCUAAACGGGCAUCUUUCUUGGUCGUACAUCGGCAACAAUACCGUUACAAAGAUCUGCCGAUGCUCUGACCAGGAUAUUCGCAAAAACGGUUACCUCCCCUCUAUCCGCCCAUCGGCAAGAUGACCGUUAUAGAAUAUCGCCGAUGGACCGACCAGGAGAUCUCGCACAGUAAAAUAUCUUCAAAUAAUGACCGCUUCCCGUCAAAUCACCUGCACAAUCCCUGGAUUACCGUGCGAACAGUUACCAUAUCCACCUGAGUACCCUCGGGCUUCUCGGAUGCGGCAAAGAGAUAAGUCGGAUUUGCCCUUGCCCAUCUUGUCCUAUAAAUAGUUCCUUCUUGGGUACUCCUCCCCCAUCACACCAUUCUACUAUCCAACUUUGCUUUUCCAGCGGCGGCGCCAUUUACAGCCUUCAAGAUCUCCGACAAGCACUCCUCUUCAUCAACUCCGGUGCCCUCCAACGUCCUCUUCACGACAAGAUGGCCAUUGGCUUCGUCGUCCCUGAGGUCAGACUCCCAUCUCAUCUUCUAUGUAUAUUCCUAUUCAUCCGCGAUUCAUCUUACUGAAUAUUCUCCUUUUCCUUUUUCUUUGUGUUUUUAUUCCCCCAAAAUCACUAGGAGUUGUCCCCACCGAUCAACCACACCUUCAAUGCCUCGGUCCUCUAGGGGAUUCAGAUCCAACCAAUCUUAUCAACGCAGAAACCAAUAGAAUCCCCUUUAGGGCUGAAAACUUUUCUGUAGAUCUAUGGAAAGACACUUUUCGCUCUUGGCCCAGCCCUACCGUAGGGUGGAAAGACUGGUUCUUGAGGGUCAGCAAUUCUUAUGAAGUCCAGUGGGGUGAGAGGAAGCUAGCCCAAUGCAUUAGGCUAUCCAUUGCCGAUAUGCACAGGAACGAAUCACUGCUGAUAGCUGCAUCCUACUUUUGGUCAGACACUCUCAAUGCUUUUGUUUUUGGCCACGGCCCUGCUUCUCCUACCCUUGCCGAUGUAGCCAUGCUCACUGGGCUAGAUAUAUCUUCUGCCGAUAGCACCCACUUUUUUGAUACUGCCCCCAGUGCCAAAGUGGAGACUCGCGCUAUCGGCGGUUGGUCAGGGUACAUCCAGAAGUACCGCGGGAGAGGGUCUGUCACCAUAAAGGAGCAAACCACCUUUCUGAACAUGUGGCUGGACAAGUUCGUAUUCUGUGGUCGAUCGGCAGGACCGACUUCUGUCUAUCUAUCGGCAGCAGAAAGACUGGCUAACGGUGGCCAAUUUCCUCUCGGCCGAUAUUUACUCAGCGCUGUUUACCACCUUCUUCAUCAGGUAGCCCAGAAACUCCUGCUUGGCCAAUCCAUCGGCAACUUGGGAGGCCCCUGGUGGUUUAUUAAUAUGUGGCUCAAUCUGCACCUGCAUAAGCGCCUUGAUUUCAACUUGUUCUCACAGCACUUCCCAAGAGAUAUAGCCGAAAACCACGUGUUGGGUGAAGAGGAAUCGGCAACGCGUGCCCCCUUGAACUUUGGCGAAGCCGUUAUAGUCUUACCCGGUUCAGGGAACAAUCCGGAUCAGAUCGGCCGAUUCUUCGAGACUCUGUAUGAGGGUCUGGCUAGAGAUGAACGACCAUGGCUGGCUUAUGAUGACCCAGAUAGCAUGCUCCCUCUGACCUUCAAUCCAUUUGAUGAGGCUCUCGACAGGGAUAAUGAGGUGAUGAUGGCAAUUGUGACUCCCAGAGCCAUACCAGUGAAUUUCUUCGGUAGCACAAAAACCUCUCCCCAAACCUAUGAAUUUUACAAUCCAUCGACAUUAGCUCGCCAGCUAGCUUUCGGCCAGUUGCCGAUUGCACUUCCUUAUGCCGAUGUGAUAAAGCCCAGAGAACCCAUCACCAACCUUCUCGAGUGGACUCGAGUAGCCCAGCUACCACCAAAUGCCGAUACAGAUGUAGAUCUGUCAGAAUGGGUUCCAGCUGCCUUUAUCACUCAGGCGUACAAGCUAUGGUGGGCAGAAUGGAAAGAGAAUCUAUUCUGCAGAUCGGCCCUCUCAUACCGCGGCAUGAUCGACCCCGAAUACAAAGUCCCUGAUGACACUGUAAUUAUUUUAAACCGAUGUCUCAUUUUCCAAUACUAUUUCCAUCGGUAACUUACCCCUGUAUUCCUUUUGCAGGUUGACAACACCCCCCCAUCGGUUAGCAGGAGUGGCAAGCCGAUCGACUUGUUCCCAUCAGGCCCGAUCUCCUCAAUCGGCCACAAUGCUCCCACUCUGGCUUCCAUCGUGCAUCGGGGUGCGCGCCUCAAGAAAGUUACCACCAGGAAAACUCAGACAUCGCCAACGGUAGCUGCUUCCACUCUGGCGCAAGCUUUCAAGGCAAUUUGUCAAACCCUUUUCAUUUAUGCUGACUAUCUUUGUAUCGGCUAUCUGUGCUCAUAAACUCCUUUUUGUUGUUGCAGCAAACUGGUGCAUCGGCAAAAGCCAAACGCCAAGGUACCGAUGCCCCCAGUCUAGCCAGCCAAAGAGGAAGGGCACCCAAGGUGCUAAGGCUGGAACAAAGCGCCAGAAAGUGGCAACUCCCCCUCCUCCUCCGGUGUCUCCAAUCCCGGUGGAAUCUUCCCUUUCUUCUCCAGAAGUCCAGACGCAGCAAGCACCAUCUCCCCAACCAAUGCAGGAAGCACCACAGAUAGAAGAACCCCAGCAGGAAGAACCUCAAACAGAAGGUACAUCAGCUGACGUGGGUGAACAAACAACUGGCCCGGCAGGUCCAGUUAUAUCAUCGGCGGUUUCCCCGAUUCAGACAACUGUUGUUCCUCCUCCGGGUAACAUAUUUCAACAAUACUUCCGCCGAUAAACUUAUUCUCAUUUAGUCUCAUAACCCUUCCUGUCUUCUUUCAGUCGAUAUCGUUCCAUCGGCAACAUUUGCCGAUCAACCUGUAGCUCCAUCGGUAUCUUUGAGUCAAAGGCAAGAAAUUGCCUUGAAACAAGUAAGUCAUCCAAUUUUUCCACCAGUAUCGUCUGCCGAAGCUUUGACCAUAAAAAUGACUUAUUUUAUUCUCAUUUUCAGGAACAAGAUUCUCCCGAUAGCUUAUUCUCCUUCGCCAUUGAUAUCUUCGAAGAAGAAGGUGAGGAAGCAAGCUCCUCUCGGGCAAUUGGGACUGUAUCGGCAGAAACCAGGGCUAAGCUGGAGGAGCUAUCGGCCAUACUUCAUCAAGACACAGCUCAACUGGUCAACGAUUCUGACCCAGCCAAGGCCCUGUUCAAAACCCUUAGAGGCCAAAUUCCUGCCGAUGCUGAAGAAACCCUCUUCCAUGCUGCACACCUAGAAAGCCGCCAGCUACAGUACCAGAGAGCCACUCGACGCCUUGCCGAUAGAGCCGCUCAAAUCCAGCUUUCUGAGGAGAUGAUGAAAGAAAAACUCUUAGCCGAUGAGAAACAUAAGAACAUCGGCACCUUAAAGUCCUCAGGUGAUGCACUGAAGUAGAAAGUAUCUGAUCUAUCGGCAAAAAGAGAAGCUCUACUGGCCGAACUCAAGCAAGUAGAGGAUGCUCUGUCCCAAGCCCAGCAAGAAGAGAGUCAACUGCCGGAGACCAUCAAGCACCUUGAACAAGAACGAAACGUCCACGGUCGCAAAGCGCUGCAGUUGAAGAGGAAGCUGAAGCCGAUAGAAGGUUCUGCCGAUGAUGAUAUCAAAGAGAUAGAGACAGCCAAUCAGAUCCGGCUGCGCGCCAUAUCGGCAAUCCAAGCGCUGUUGAACAUCUGAAGCUUUCAUCAGCAACACACCUUUGUUUUCCCGCUUUUAGCUUUUAGUCUAGCCGAUAAGACUGUUAUCGGCAUCUUUUGAAACAUUAAGUCUGCCCCCAAACAUUUAAAACCAGCCGAUAGGAGUGUUAUCGGCACUUAAACUUUUAUGCAUCGACCCAUAUGCUGGGGUAGUACUUCUUUAAAUAUUUGCCAUUUAAUGCUCUGGGAAAUUCAACUCCUUCGAGAGUUUCUAGAAUAUAGGCAUUACCAGGAGCCGAGUGUCUUAUCCGAUAAGGACCUUCCCAAUUAGGAGACCACUUCCCAAACUUCGAACUUUUAGUCCCGACUGGCAAAAUCAACUUCCAUACCAAAUCCCCAUCGGCAAACUCCUUAUCCUUUACUUUCUUAUCAUACCAUCUAGCAACUCUCUUCUUAUUUUCUUCUAUACUCAUUAAAGCCUUUAACCGAUGCCCUGCUAAAUCAUCUAACUCAUCGGUCAUCAAAGUGGCAUAAUCAUCGGCAGCCAAUUGAUCUUGAAAAGAUAAUCGCCUAGAUCCAGCCUUAAUCUCCCAAGGCAACACUGCAUCAUGUCCAUACACCAAUUGAUAUGGUGACACCUUGGUUGAUCCAUGACAAGCCAUCCGAUAAGACCAUAGUGCUUCAUUUAACAAUGUAUGCCACCGCCUAGGAUUUUCUUCAAUCUUUCGUUUAAUAAGCUUGAUAAUUCCUUUGUUAGACGCUUCGGCCUGCCCAUUGGCUUGAGCAUAGUAAGGAGAAGAAUUCAACACUUUAAUUCCCAUACCGAUUACGAAUUCAUCGAACUCCCCUGACGUGAACAUGGUGCCCUGAUCGGUAGUAAUCGUUUGGGGAAUCCCAAAUCGGUAAAUAAUAUGCUCCUUCACAAAAUCAAUCAUAUUGGCCGAUGUGACUUUCUUCAAAGGAAUAGCUUCGACCCACUUAGUGAAAUAGUCAAUGGCAACUAGAAUGAACUUAUGCCCUUUGCUAGAUGGUGGAUAAAUCUGGCCGAUCAGAUCGAUGGCCCAUCCCCGGAACGGCCAAGGUUUUAUUAUAGGAUUCAUAGCCGAUGCGGGUGCUCUCUGGAUAUUACCGAACUUUUGACAACCUUGACAUCCCUUGAAAUAUUUAAAACAAUCUUCAAGUAUGGUUGGCCAAAAAUAUCCAUUCCUUCGAAUCAUCCACUUCAUCUUAAAAGCUGACUGAUGCGCUCCACACACUCCUUCAUGGAUUUCCCCCAUCAAACUUCUGGCUUCAUCAUCACCCAAGCAUCGGAGAAGAAUUCCGUCGACAGUUCGAUAAUACAAUUCAUUUUCAAGGAGCACAUACUCGGUUGCCUGAAAUCGAACCCGUCUUUCAACUUUUUUGGAUGGAUCUUUUAGAUAAUCAACAAUUUCUUUCCUCCAAUCACCGGCACCGACUGCCGAUGUCGCAUUAAUCAUUGGCUGAUAUCCCGAGGCAUGCUGAGCUAACCGAUUAGCGUCUUUAUUAUACAAUCGGGGAACAUGCUCCAAUCGGAAGUCCUUGAAUUCCUUUAGCAGUUGCAUACUUCUCUCGAAAUAGGUUAUGAGAACUUCACUUCGGCAUUCAUAGCUUCCGGCCAAUUGAUUUAUAACCAACAUAGAAUCCCCGAAUAUUUCAACAGCAUCAGCACGAACUUCUCUUAACAACUCCAAUCCCUUGAUCAGAGCUUGAUACUCAGCCUGAUUAUUUGUUGAUGUAGCAACAAUCGGCAAGGAAAACUCAUACUUCCUCCCCUUAGGAGAAACUAAUACAAUGCCGAUUCCUGCCCCCCGGUCACAGGUAGAUCCAUCAAAGAAGAGUGUCCAGGGUGCAAUUUCCAAGGUUUCCACUAGACCGCAAUGCUGAGUCACAAAAUCGGCCAUAACCUGCCCUUUGACUGCCUUAGCCGAUUCGUAACGCAAAUCGAACUCCGACAGCGCUAAAAUCCAUUUACCGAUCCUACCACUCAUAAUCGGCAUAGAUAGCAUGUAUCGGACCACAUCAUCUUUGCAAACAAUAGCACAUUCGGCCGACAACAGGUAAUGUCUCAGCUUGAUACAUGAAAAAUAUAGGCAUAAGCACAGUUUCUCAAUGGCCGAAUACCUGGUUUCAGCAUCAAUCAACCUCCUACUCAAAUAAUAAAUUACCCUCUCUUUCCCUUCAAAUUCUUGAACUAAAGCUGAACCGAUAACCGAUCCAUCGAUAGAUAAAUACAAUUUGAAGGGCUUCCCUUGUUGAGGUGGAACUAAAACUGGAGGAUUUACUAGAUACUUCUUGAUUUCAUCCAGAGCCAACUCCUGUUCUUCUCCCCAAACAAACUCUUGAUCGGCUUUCAAUUUAAGAAGAGGACUGAAGGCACGAAUCCUCCCAGAUAAAUUCGAUAUAAAUCUUCUGAUAAAAUUCACCUUGCCGAUCAAGGAUUGGAGCUCGGUUUUAUUGGUAGGGGCCACUAUUUUAUUGAUGGCAUCAAUAGAUCUUCGACUAAUUUCAAUACCCCUCUGAUGUACCAUGAAACCAAGAAACUGCCCUGCCGAUACGCCAAAUGCACACUUGUUGGGAUUCAUCUUCAAUCCAUGCUUCCUUGUGCACUCCAACACUUUUCGUAAAUCGGCAAGAUGCUUUGAGAAAUCUCCAGACUUAACCACCACAUCAUCAAUAUUAAUCUCUACGAGCUUGCCGAUGAACUCAUGAAAUAUAAAAUUCAUAGCCCUUUGAUAAGUAGCACCAGCAUUCUUUAACCCAAAAGUCAUGACUAUCCAUUCAAAUAGUCCAACAUGACCAGGACACCUGAAUGCGGUUUUUGGAAUAUCCUCCUCUGCCAUGAAUAUUUGAUUGUAACCUGCAUUACCAUCCAUGAAGCUGAUGACCCGAUGGCCAGCCGCAGCAUCAACCAGUAGAUCGGCGACACGCAUUGGGUAUCCAUCCAUCGGCGUAGCUUUAUUGAGAUUCCUGAAAUCAAUGCACACCCGAAGCUUCCCAUUCUUCUUGUAAACCGGAACAACAUUGGAAAUCCAUUCGGCAUACCGACACUGCCGAAUAAACUUAGCUUCAAUAAGUUUAGUGAUUUCGGCCUUAAUAUCAGGUAGAAUGUUACGAUUACAUCGGCGGGCUGGUUGCUGAUGUGGCCGAAAUCCAGACUUGAUGGGUAACCGAUGUUCAACAAUUGAUCGGUCUAAACCAGGCAUCUCUGUAUAAUCCCAAGCAAAGCAAUCUUUAUAUUCCUUUAACAAACUAGUCAAUUGUCGCCUACACUCAGGAUCUAAUUUAGCACUAAUAAAAGUAGGCCUAGGCUUAUCACCACUACCUAUAUCUACUUCUACCAAAUCAUCGGCCGAUGUGAAUUCCUGGCCUAAUUUUCCAUCAUCGGCGAAUCUAUCCAUUAAAAAUCGUCGUCAGAACCGACUGCUUGGAUCGGUGGAAUCUCAUAAUCGGCAACUUUGAGAAAAUCUUUCUCCCAAACUUCUCCUGAAAUGCACCUGGUCCUUUCGUAAGUAUCCGCUUCUGCCGAUGCGACAACAUAAGAAGAAUCUCCUGGGACGAUCUCAAUCUUGUCACCUACCCACUGAACCAAGCACUGAUGCAUUGUAGAUGGGACACAACAAUUGGCAUGAAUCCAAUCUCUCCCCAAUAAUAAAUUGUAGGCACCUUUUCCGCUGAUCACGAAAAAAGUUGUCGGCAAGGUUUUGCUGCCAAUGGUCAACUCUGCACAUAUCGCCCCCUUGACUGGAGACACGUUUCCUUCAAAGUCUUUGAGCAUCAUAUCGGUCUUGGUCAAAUCUUGAUCCCCUUUCCCAAGCUUCCGAUAUACUGCAUACGGCAUAAUAUUAAUAGCAGCUCCACCAUCAACUAGGAUCUUCGUCAUUGGCUGCCCAUCAACCCUUCCUUUGAGGAACAAAGCUUUAAGAUGCUGCCUCUCGUCAUCGGCAGGUUUCUCAAAGAUAGCCGUCAUCGGAUCCAGAGCCAACUGAGCUAUCUGAUCAGAAAAUUCCAACUCAUCGUCACUGGCUGGUGCAAGAAACUCCAUCGGCAACAUGAAGACCAUGUUGACGCCUGCCGAUGGACCUUCCCUCUUAGUGUCUGACGGCUGCCGACUUCCAGAGUUCUCUCCCUCGUUUAGCUCCUCUUGCCUUUCUCGUUGCAAUCUCCUUUUCUAUGUCUUGGUUAAUCCUCGAGGGCACCAUGGAGGAAGUGGCCUUUGCCUUGCCGUCGGGCGUCGGUUCUCCCUUGACUCCAUGCUAUGCGUGUUAGCAUCCCUGCAAAAUAUGAAUUCGUCGGGAACCCGCGCAUCAGCCAUUCCUUCGAGCUCCUCUUGGUUUCUGGGAAAAUACUGGACACGGUCACUAAGUCUGUUGUGCCCACUAAAUCUGCCCCCCAGCCGGUCAUGAACUGACACCCUUCCUCUGAUCGGCCCAUUAGCUCGCCGUUCAUCAUCAUGAUAACGCCGAUCGUUCCUAUCGUACCGAUCAUAACCGUUGCAUUCAGGGCAGUCUCUGACAGUAGGAAGCUUGAUAUUUUCCUCCCAACAAUGGAUGAAGAAUGGGCAAUUCCAAUGAUCCCUGUGCCGAUUCCACUCCUGUCGGCGUCUUUCUUCUUCCCGUUGAUAAUCUUCCUGCUGGCGCCGAUACCGAUCUUCCCGUUGUUGCCAUUUUUCUCGAGGCCUCCUAUGAGUUAUGACGAUACCAGAUCGAGGAAGCCUUCCUGAGCUAGUUCCUUCCUGGACCAAGCCCUUACUUCUUGCAUCGGCAGUAGUAACUUGAUGCUGAGGAUCUACCGAUGCACUCUUCUCAGCUGUCUCCGACGUUAAGACCUUAGACUUCCCCUUAGCAUCCAACAUGUUUGUCGGGAAAGGAUGUUGGUCUAUCUUCAUCGGCUUCUGGGCUUUGGAACUGUCAAACUUGAUUCUCCCUGACUCUAUAGCCGAUUGGAGCUGCUGUCUGAAUACUUUGCACUCGUUGGUGUCAUGUGAAGUUGCAUUAUGCCACUUGCAAUAUCUCAUCCUCUUCAACUCUUCUGCCGAUGGGAUCACGUGGUUAGGUGACAGUUUGAUUUGACCUUCAUGAAGUAGAAAGUCAAAUAUCCUAUCGGCCUUGGCGGUGUCAAAGGCAAACUUCUCUGGUUCCUUCUGCCCAAAAGGACAAGACAUUGGCUUCUUGUUUUUUACCCACUCUGCCAAACCGAUUACUGGUUCCUCAUCGGAAUUUGAGCUUGUUGCUUCAUCAAUAAAUGACACUUUCUUAUUCCAUGCCCUCUUAGGCUCAAAAGGCUUGAUGUCUUGAUCAGAUAUCCUCUGCACCAAAUGACUUAAACUUUCAAACUCCUGAGAGGCAUACUUAUCCCUGAUAUGUGGCAAUAAACCCUGGAAAGCCAAAUCGGCUAGCUUCCGAUCAUCCAGAACCAGGCUAUAGCAUUUAUUCUUGACCUCUCGUAUCCUCUGCACAAAUCCCUCAACCGACUCAUCAUUAUGUUGCCUCAACUUGACCAAGUCGGUGAUCUUCUUCUCAUGAACCCCCGAGAAGAAGUAUUUGUGGAAUUGCUUCUCUAGAUCGGCCCAAGUAAUUACUGAGUUGGGAGGUAAUGAUAUGAACCAAGUAAAGGCCGAUCCAGACAAUGAUGAUGAAAAUAGACGAACCCUCAAUUCGUCCCUGUUACCAGCCUCUCCACAUUGAAUAAUGAACCUGUUGACAUGCUCCAUGGUUGACGUGUCGUCCUGUCCGGAAAACUUUGUAAAAUCCGGUACCUUGUACCGAUGUGGAAGCGGGAUCAAAUCAUACGCUGGAGGAUACGGUGUCCGAUAAGAAUAAGUGUUGACUUUGGGUUUUAUCCCAAAUUGUUCCCUCAUUACUUCAGCAAUCUUAUCGGCCCAAUACGCAUCGGCAUCUUGCCGAUGAGGCGGCUGCGGAUCUGGCACUUGGUGGCGAACCUCCACGUGUCUGUUCGGGACGUGACCUGCAUGGAACAUUGUAUUGGUCACCUGUCCUCCAAUCUGCGGACCACCAAACUGCUGUCCACCGAUUGGCUGUCCUCCGAGUUGCUGUCCAAAAUUUAUUGGCUGGUUGGGAAUCCCCUGACCUUGGAACCCGGGAUAGACUUGCCCUUGCUGGAACCCUGUAGUCUGAUAACCCUGCUGGGGCGAUUGUGGAAAGGCUUGCUGUCCAAGCCAUCCAUUAUUAGCGUUCAUCGGCAUAGGUGCUGCCGAUGAUUGGUAAUUGGGUACCGUCGUUGAAUCGACAUACCCCGACUGGGCCAUAGGCCUCUGUUGCAUCAGCAUUGACUCUGCCGAUGCGUUGGGCAUCUGAAACAUUGAAUCUUGAGGAUUCCCAGUGUGAGGCCUUGCAGUAGUAGUUGUGGUAUACCGAGGACUCUGGUUCACCGGCGCAUUGGGAGGUGCCGAUGUCAUAGGAGUUUUGCCCCUCAUGUCAGUUAUUUGUGAUGUUCCCGGCGUCAACUCUGGAGGCAUACCAUAACCCCACCAGUUGGGAGGAAGAGUCAACCCUGACAUUGCCGAUGCCAACAUAUCUGUUGUCAGUUUAUGCUGCCCAACUGAAAUUUGUGGGUUGGUUGCCAUCGGCAUAGAUAGUGCACCAGUAGUCCCCAAUGUACUUGGAGGGACGGCAGACUGUGCACUUGAAUUCGUCAAGGCAGCCGAUGGAGCCGUGACCUCUGGUGCCGUUGGCUGAUGAUGGGAGGGCCCCACAUAAUCUGGCGGGAUUUGUCCUUCCUUGAAAGUUCUUGCCACGGCGUUGAAAACCGUAUUAGACAGUACACCAGCUUGGUUAAUCAACGCUCGAUUGAUGGCAUUGUCAACCAUAUCUUGAAGCUUGCCAGGAUUGGCGUCAAAGGUGACCUGCCGUGGUGCCGGCAGUGCAUCUUUCUGGACCACUUCGCCGCUCCUGUUUAUGCUGAAAGACCUCAGGCAUUGCUGCUUGAACUCUUCCAUGGCUUGGGCAAUAGCUUGCUUUUGCUCAUCCUUGAGGUUGGCCUCCGUCACGGGGAUGACGUUCUCUUGAUCGAGGUCAGAGAUCGACAUGUUGAUCUUGAUCUUGAAUCUGUCCCACUGGGCGUGCCAAAAGAUGUGUUGAUGCAAAACUGAUCUGCAAACACAAAGGGCUAAUACCCGAUUCAAACGUUAAGGCGUGCCAGCCGAUUUGACCUUGCUAUCGGCAAAGGUGACAACUCGAAUACUUUAGUCCUGACAACAGCGAUGCGCCCGGAUGUCACGGCUAAGAGGUACUCACGCGGAACUCGAGAACACGCCGCGCUUAAGUCGACGAAUUCCUAAGAACUCGUAAUAAAAAGAAAAAAGUAUGACGAAGUCGUCGAAAAGUAGAUGCUGGAAUAUGAGUAAAAACGUGUGUUUGAUUGAUUUCUUGAUUGAUUAUUACAAGGUCCUAGGGUUUAUAUUUAUACCCUGCUCAAAGAGCUACAACCAGACACGAUUAGAAUUCGAAUUCCAAAUUACACGGAAUCCGUAUACAAAACGAUGCAAAUAAUUAAGGAAAUAAUAAAACUAUCCUUCGUGACAAACCGAAACCCCUCCACAUGACAACUGGCAGCUUCCGGACUCCUCCUUCGCAUCAUCGGCAAUCCCCUUGCCAUAGUCAUCGGCAGACCUUUUUAUCCAGCCAUCGGCACCAUAUUACUGCCUGUGGACUUAGUCACAUUCAACUUCUCCCUCAUCGGCAACCAUCCUCAUCAGCAACCCGCAUCGUACUGUCACCCUAUCCUGCCAUCCUAGACACGUGCCCAAAAACGGUGUCAACACCCCGUCAUCCCGUUCUCCAUCGGCUUGGUGGACUUCCCAGAAGCACUCUGCGACUUUGGCUCCAGCGUCAACAUUAUGCCCAGGGUUGCAGAUCGGACAAUCAGUUUCCCAAAGGAAAUAUUGAAGAACCUCUGCGUCCGAGUUGGUACCUUGUAUGCUCUAGCAGACUUCAUGGUGAUAGAGACUGGUACUGAGGAGAGGGCACCCAUCAUCUUAGGGAGGCCAUUCCUAAACACUAGAGCUGUCAUCUACGCUAAUGCUGCCAAGAUCAGUCUCUACAUCAAGGGGAAGAAGGAGACUUUCCUUCAAGAACAAGACUACACAAACUUCAGAGCAAUCCUAACAUGAACCAAGGAAGAGGACCAACAGGAGGAACAGGAACAAGCAAAUGUGGACCGAGUCAGCUAAGAUGGUCACUGCAGUUCAAGGAGGUCAAGAUCGUCGACUCAAGUCACCUUUCUUGAUCAAGAAAGACGACCCUGGUGUUCUAAGCAUUGAGUGCACAAUCAACAGAUACUCUUUCAAGAAGACACUCUACGACACCGGAUCUGACGUCAACAUAAUGGCCGUCAUUGAUAUGGGAGAAGACGAGUACGAUCCACCCAUCAUCCUUGGAAGACCAUUCCUCAACACUAUCAAAGCCAUCAUCUAUAUUGGAACCGGAGAAGUCCACAUACACUUCUCCUCUGAGAAGGUAUGCCGCUGUUUUACUGACCCUAACUAUAUAGUUGAAGACUCUAAGCAGGUCAGGACAAGAAGAAGACAACGCAACCGCAACCAGAGGAGGCAAAUCAGCAAGGACGGAUGGGUAGACUACGAAGGAGAAGUGAUAAGGACUGAAGACAUACCACUUGAACAUAACUGUCCUGAGGAGACCGUAGCACCGAGUUAGGUGUGGAGAGAGAAGAUAGUUAUACAUGAAGAAGAGGCGCCGUCGGAAUCACCGACUACGCCACCUAGCGAAUCCCAGGAAGACUGAAAACACAAGGAGUCCCGUUCGGAGGACUUAAAAACACCGAACGCCUUGCCAAGAGGUAAACUUGGUAGUUAUCCUUUUCCUUUCAAUUAUUCAAUUAUAGUUUGCUUAGUUAAUCAGGUUCAUGCUAUCUUGAAAAGAAAAUAAAAAUGUUAAAAAAAUAGUAAGCCCCAUGUGAGUAUGCUCAUGGCAUAAAACCCAUAAGUACAUUCACUGUGGUGGCAUAAAAAUAAAAUAAAUAAGUUUUCAUCUUACAAUAAAAAUAGUAAGUGCAUGAUCCUGCUAAAUAAGUAAUAUGUAUUGAGGAGGCUCAACAUGAUAAAGGCUAGAUAUUUAUGCUAACACUUAACCAGUUCCACAAAGCUUUGUUGUCUAUUUGAGCUCCACAGAAUUCAAGGAUCAAAGAAGACUAGCAGACGGAGGACAUUUUAAUCGCUGUCAGAAUGCUGCUGACUUUCAAGUACACCUCUGCCACCUGCUAACUACAUCAAGAGAAAUUACGUCAAAAUUCAGCUUGGGGGAGAGCACCCCCAUUUAUCCCGAUAAGUAUUUCUAUCUAUCUAUCUAUCUUUAUACUUAUACUAUAUUAAAAUAUAAAUAUACAUAAACCAGGAAAAACCAAAUAAAGAUUUUAUGCUUAUAUAUAUAUCUUUGCUUAAUUUGCUAAAUAAAUAAAUAAAUAAAGUUUGCUAUGAACACUCAUGAUAAACUCUCAUGGAAAUGAUGAAUAGUUGCUCUGCCAUGACUAGUUCUUAAAAUUGAAAUCUCUCUCAAGUUUAGGCAUAACUGUUAUAAUUUAAAGCUUGCUCUAAACCUAAACUUGUGGGAAGAGUACUUGAUCUAAAGUCUAAGUCGUUAACGGAUAUGAUAUGGGAAGGUUGAGCUGCUGUUUAUCUGUUCCUAGAGAUGCUAGAAUUCUAGAGAAUUUUAUCUUUGAAAAAAAUCUUUAAAAUAACACAUGAUGAGUUCCUGUAUGAUGAGAGUUUAAAAUCCUACCACAGCCAUAUAUACAUGCUUGCUAGACUUUGAGCCACAUAUUUACUUUUUACUGCUUAUGAGCAUUGAAGCUUGUCAUGUUGUCAAGCUGUGUAGACCCUUAGAAGCUUGUCAUGUGGUUAAAAUCAAGAUUCACUUGCACGUUCACUCAUACAUGCUACUUCUACUCCGGAAGUACCAUCCACAUAUAUCCACUCAUUUCCAUCUCCACAUUCACCCUAAAUUAUUCUACUCCUAAUCCGGGAGAGAAUAGCCAAAAAUAUUUUCCUAUCCCUGUUAUUCCCUAUGAAAUAAAUGCUUGAGUUAUCUUGGUUACUACCACUUGCUAUAUUAUUUAAGGAGAUGAGUGCUCUAAAAAAAGAAAAAAAAUAUACGAGGAAAUAAAAAGGGGCAAGUGCCCGGAACCUCGGAAGAAAAGAAAAAAAGGUGAGACGAAAGGUAAAAAUGGACAAGUGUCCGACAGUAGAAUUAGGGGUACAAGAUACCCGCCUGAGAGGAAAUAAAAUAUAGAGCAUCUCAUUCUCCCCAAAAAGCUUCAGAGUGCAAGAAAGGUAUGUUUCCCCUCAAAAAGAGCAAAAGUAGAAUUAGACUUUCACCAUCAUUAUCACCAUCAUUACCAUACAACAUUCAUUCGCCACACAUGCACAUCUUAAUUUGGCUUAUUGACUUGUUUCUCUGGAUCCAUGGUUUGACUAUGCAAUAAAUAUCUUGUAAGUAUGUAUUAGCUAUCUCCCACCUAUGAGCUCCAGAUAUCAGAACCUAAUUAGAGUAGGGUGAGAGAGAAGGCAAUAUCACUAUGCCUCAUACCAAAAAUACCACAUACUUUGAGAGAAGGCAUAUACCAUUACUGCCUUGGUAAGGAUCCAGAAAUACCACAAAAGAGAGAUUUGAGAGAAUCAUACAAGGAAUCUCUGAGUUUUAUUUGAAAACCUGCAAAAACUCCAGAGCUAUAGCUGAUCAAGAACAAGAUACAUGGUGCUUGACUCGACCGUUCUAUCUUUUAAUUGCUCAAGACACAAGUGACGGUUACAAGCCCCAUGGUGAAAGGUAAAAUGAGUAAGUUUUAAGUCUUAACAGUUUAUUCUAACUCAGAGAUGAGAUCUUGCUUGAAUGCGUGUGUACUUUUAAGAAAUAAAACCACUGCAGAAACUCUUGAGUUCAUCCUUGCUCAGGGACGAGCAAGAGGUAAGCUUGGGGGAGUUUGUUGACAGUCCUUAAGUAUCAAAUAUAAUCAUCAAAUAAAUAAAGAAAAGGAUCCAAAUGCAACCAACACCUAGACUUAGGGUUUUAUCUGACAGAAUUCCAUGAGUUUUGCUGUUUGUCUAUUUCUGCAGGGGGUUAUCAGGAAAUAUGGAAGAAAGGCCCACACGUUGGGAUUACAUAGAGAUAUUAACGUGCCGCGCAAUUUUCUAUCAUCUAGAAGACUCUAGAAGCCACGAGAACGAACGGGAGGCCGAACGGGCCCGGGGGCAGGGCGCCCGCCCUCUCCCCUUGGGCGCCCGCCCAGGUGUUUCCACCAAUCAUAGAAUGGAGUACACCAUUGCAAAGAUCUCGUCGAGCUGAUCGAAAUGCAUAUAUUAUUUGCUAUAUUUGGAGUUCGGAAUCAAGAGAUAUUAAUAAAAGAAGGACUCCAUAUAAAAGAGCUACGGGAUUAAUUGGGCCCAAAUCAGAUUUUGGUCCAUUAAGGCCUAUGUGCAUUUUAAUGAGAUAUGGUGGAAAGUUUAGUACCACAUCGCCUGCUGAACCAAAAACACAUAGAGGAGGAGGACUAUAUAAGAAGACCCCCUGGCCCCUGGAGAAGACAAGAAAUUAUCAUAGAGAUUGAGGGGUGCCCUCGAAGGAAAACCUCUUCUCUAAAUAAUAUUUCUUUUUAGGCUUAGCAACCAAUGUAAAGUAGAAUUAGAUCUUCUAGUUUCUACUAGAUUGAGAGAGAUAGAGUGGAGGUGUGGAUCGGAGGAAGGCCGGCGUGUCGGUGUCUACUCCGAGUUGUACCUACGGGAUCAAGUCUCCUAACCUGAGGCUUGCUUCUAAGAUUCUUCAGUAAUUCGACUUCUAAUGCUAGUAAGUUCUUGUUUUAUUGUUCUUUGGUUUAUGAGUUUACUUUAAUCCUCUUCCGGUUGAGUAUUAGAGUAAUCACUUGCUAGCGUAAACGUGGUGUUUAGGCUAGGGUACUCAUAGAUAUCCCCUGACUAGCUAGACCGUGGUAGUAGCGAGGAACGUGACAUUUCUGAGUUACCUUUGUAUCCCAUAUCUUGUUAGCAGGACGGGUAGGUUUAUAGGUGCGGGUCGAACAUCCUCUGUGUUGUCUAGAUUCCGUGAGCCUCCCCAAUAGAACAGUAGAUCAUCCUUACCAAGGUUAGAAUGAGACUACGGUUGCAGUCUUCUCUAUACAUCGCUCACAUCGAGAAACAUUCUUUGUAGCCUAAAGGGGUAAUAGCAAUAGAUUUGGUUAGUCAGAUGCACCCUUUCUCCCAGUGGUAAAAAUAUAAAUACGAUAACUCUGGAUAACCUCCCGGGUGAAAUGCUCACCGAUAUCCGUGCGCUUGCGGAUCAUUUCCUUAUUGCGUUACCAAAUAUCAACAGUGGUCUAAAUCUUCUGUUAUGAGCUUGUGAAGUGGAAUGACAGAAUCUGUCAAAAUCUAAAUAUAUGUCUUCUUUGUAUUGUUUGUGCUUGUUAGCUGUAGAAGCACCUUAAGAUGAUAAUAAGAAAAUUAUAGGUAACUUGAUAAGUUUUCCAUAAGAUUGAGGAUCAUGUUUGUUGGAUCAAUGAACCUUUAGUUACCAUUUUCUAAAGUUCAUGUCAAGUUCUCUAUUAUAGUUUAGGCAGAGCUGAUUGCUAUUCUUUUUCAACCUUAUUAAGUUUUGAAUUAGCUCUAUAGGUUCGAUAACCUUUUCCCGCUGAGUUUUCCUAAAUACUAAACUCUUUCCUGUGGUAUGUCCAUUUACAUGAUAGUGCAGCCAUGCCAAAAAUUAGGUUGUAUUGCUAAAUCCUUGUAUGUGGUACAAAUGUGUUGUAUUGCUGUAGAUAAAUGCUUGUUAUAUGUAAGCCUUGUGCUUAGUAAUGGUUGUUUAAGCGUGAUUGUUUGAGUUUUCUCAAGUACUUGCUUAAAACUGUUAUGUUGUGUGGAUGUUGGUUUUCUAGAUUGUGUGUUAGUUGUAUCAAAUUAGGUUCCCUUUCUUAGGAGCCGAGCUUAUAGACUUGACUGUUAGUUUUUGAAUGUUAGAGCAUCCAUGCCUAUGCUUGAUACGUAAACCAAAGUCCAGACCCUUAAAUACUUGCAUAUACCAUGGUUGUCCUACACCUGUUUGCAAAUAUCCUUGUCUAGCCAACUAGCCUAGGAUAAGUUAUCGCUAUAGAAAGAUUUUGACUAUUGUUGUUCUUUGCUAGUUAUGAAGACCAUACCAAAUCCAUAUUGGACCUCCCGAUUGCAUAUCCCAAAGCUUAGCUUGUGUAAUGCAAUCUCUCGCUACCUAAUCUUGGAAUCUUUUGCUUUACAAAUAAUGUAACUCCCUAUCAUCUAAAUCUCUGAUCGGGUAGCGUUUUUGCCUUUGGAGUUUGCUUAAUUCAUCCCCAACCUCCCCAAGUCUUGGGAUGCUUAUCAACUUUGAUCUCAUGAUCCUACCCAACAUGACCGCAUCUCAUGAAUUAAUUAUUAGGUAAUGACCUUGAUGGGCAUAAGGCAUAUCCAUUUAUGCCUUGUGUCGUGUUCUCAUCCUUUAAGUUGCUAGUUGUUACCUCCAAAUCUUGAUGUCAUCUUUGCUUGCUUAAUUUUUUCUUGAACAUGAUCCUUAUACAUGCAUAACCUACCUAUGUCUUGUGAGAUUUCACGUUGGUUGUAAGAUCGGUAACAGCGUUGUGAUUGAUGACUAACAGUACCGUGAUGAAAUCGAGAGCCUCUUGUGGGUGCACACACAAGACUGUGCAGCUCGGCAUGCGCUGGAAUCGUGGUUGCUAGUCAUGAUCUAUUAUGAAACUACAUGGAUGUGUCAUCACAUCAUGAGUUUUUCCUUGGUUAUCAUUCCUUAUGUCCAAUCAAAAGAUCUAUAUCAGACUUAUGUAAUAAGAAUUCCUUCUGAAGAUUCUAAGAAGAUAACCUUUGAAGAAUAGGUUACUGACAUAAACCUUAAUAGACUGCAAAGGGUGGUAGACAAGAGACUCUAUUUGUCACCCAUGUAACAAUAUCAGUCGUCUAAUGAGUAACAUGUGUCCUCCCUAUUGAAUCCAGAGGGCACACAACACUUAAAGUUGGCCAAGUUACCAAUUAGACUAGAAUUGAUCCAAAUCUUGAUCAUAGAAAUCACACAGCCCUAAUCAACCAUCUCUAUUGUGAUCUCUUUUUGGCUGACUUUGUUCUUUACUGCCAACAAAUGUAUCAACUACAAUUGUUGCCACCGAAGAAGAAAGUUUUGUAACUUUUUAGUGUUGAGAGACAACUGGUUAGUUACCAAUAAGAAAGUUAAUCUCCAGCUAGAUAAUGACUCUUUGGUAGCUAUAACAGCUAUGUCUCAUAGACCGCUGUUCAGCAAAGAAGAUAACGAGUCGAUCAAUGAAGCAAAUAUGGCUUCCUUCUCCAAACCCAAUGUUGUCAAGUCAAUUCCCCUCUUGGACAAUCACACAUAUAGUACUAGAUGCUAUAUCUGGGUCACAAGCUAGAGAAAAGCAUGUCCCUAGUCUCGGCCAGCAUCGUUAUGCGUGUGGCAGUAUCAAAGGUUUUCUUUCUGACUUGAUUCGAUGAAGUGCCAAAAGAUAAUCAUCAUCUCUUAUCUUCUAUAGCACAAUCCUUUCACGUGGAGUAUACCUUGAGCUCCACCAAAAAUAGCCCACAAGACCAAUGCUUGUGCAUCCUUGAGUUGGUGUUCAAUCCACAAUAGAAGUUGUUUUCUAAGAUAGAUGUAAAGAAAACCCUAUCCUCGAUCCUCCAUGAAAAAGUUGCUGCUACAUGAAGAGUUUGAGGGAGGUUUUGUUCUAUUUGGUUAGCCAUAUGGUGAUUGUUUGUGCUGAAUUUUGGUUAAUCAUGAGAAGACUCUUGGGUCUAUAUACACACUAACAAUUCAUGCAAAAUGAAGCUAGUUUGUGCGGUGUGAACUGAACCAAGAUGGACCUUAGGAUGACCUAGAAAAGACUCCUUUCAACCUUUGGUACCUAGUUGUUACCCUAUCACCUCAACUAAUAGUUGAGCAAUCUAGGUGUUCUACAAGUCAAAAAUAAUUGGAAAGGUAUUAAACAACAAAUCUUAGAUUUAUUAUCUUGGAGCUGUUGUUUGAUCCUAGAUAGGAAUCCUCAAUCUCAAAAGUAGUCUCACCAAGCUAUUCUGCUACAAUGCAAGUCGACCUAGAACCUACUAAGCCAUUGCUUAAUGAACGAAAAUUUUAGUUGACUUGCUUGGUAGUAGCAUGUUUCCCUAGUUCGGUGAAUACUUGCAACUUUUGUUGUCCUCUAGACCCUGCUAUCAUCUGUCUUUAGCAAUACUUAUCUAAUGCUAACAUGCCUUGGGUAUCUUCUAUGUUCCUUUUACCAAAGAGGUUGUAUUGAUACGACCUAGGUAACUGUUAACACUUGGAGCCAUGAAAUUCCUUGAAUGGUGAGCAUUGACUUGAUAGACUCAGAUGAUACAGUGUUGUUAUCAGAGAAAGAGAACUGCACACAUGGAACCUUAUGUAGCUUUCCAUUGAUUGGCAUCUGAUUGAUUAGACCUUAUGACUAGAAUAGACGUUGUUUGUUGGUUAGUUGGGUUCUCAUAACCUCAAAGGAUGUUUAUCUAGUUCAUGAUCUCAUCCCCUACGGAAGGUUGUACUCAAGCCCAUUCUGGUAGAGGACUACUUUUUGAGCCUUGUGAACAUGGAUGAAAACAUUGUAAUGAGUGGUUUACUGUGCCUCGAUACCAUUGUAGCUUUUGCCCGGUUAAAGGUUUUAUCGUAUGCACAGGGAAAUGGGAGAACUGAUCUACACUCCAACUUAACCUAGAUAGAUAGAUAGGUGUAAAUAGAAAAGAUGGUAGAAUUGAAUAAGAACAAUAUUAAAGGUAAGAUAACAAUGGGUGAUAAUAUGGGAAUAGAGAGUAGAGCAAUCUAGUAUAUGGGUGAUGGUAGGAGAAUAGUGAGGAUAACUAUGGUUUCUCUACUUCAAAGGGAUAUGUCAAUGUCUGGGACGAACCAUGUGAUGAGAAUACACCACAAAGGAUGCUUAUCCAUAGGCCGAUAAACCCUACCAGUCCUGCUAACAGGAGGUGGACUACAGGGGACCAACGUAACUGUCACCUACACGGCCUACCACACGAUCCGGCUAGACAGGGGAUAUCCACAAGUAAUCUAGGUCUAAACACCACGCUUACACCUAUACUACAACUCUCACCUAUAGCGUCCUAUAGAUUAAAGUACUCAAAAGAGUUGUGAACCAGAAUAUACAUGUAUAGUAAUUGCAUAAUGAAAUAGAAGUAGAUUACCAGAAUCAUCCCAUGAGCGAGCUUGAUUAGAGCUUGAUCAUGGCGAAGUACAACCGGAGGAAGAACCGACAGGCCGGCCUCUCCUCCAAUCCUCCCUCGCUCUCCAUCUCGCUACUAUCUAGAUCUACUCUAGUUUAGAGAAGAGAGGAGAGCUCUCAUCUCCAAACCCUAGCUUUUGCUCUGUCUAUGAAUAAUGAAUCGGGAUCAAAGGGUGCCUCCUCUAGGGGCCAGGGGGCCUGCCUAUAUAGUCCCCUCAAGUGAAUCUGUGCCAUCGGAUCAAACCGACAUUGAUUGAACGGUUAUCCUUGAUCCUUUAGGUCGGUGGAGCACAAUCCGCGAGAUUGAACGUGAUUGGUUGAAAUAGUAGGGUGGGCGCCAGGUCCCCGAGCCCGCUUGGCUUCCUGUUCGUUCCCGUGGCUUCUGGAGUCUUCUAGAUGAUAGAAAAUUGCGCAGCACGUUAAUAUCUCUGUGUAAGCCCAACAUGUGGGCCUUUCCUCCAUAUUUUCUGAUAACCCCUUGCAGAAAUAGACAAACACCAAAACUCAUGGAAUUCUGUCAGAUAAAACCCUAAGUCUAGGUGUCGGUUGCAUUUGGAUCCAUUUCUUUAUUUAUUUCAUGGCAAAAUUUGAUACUUAAGGACCAUCAAUAGUAAUGAGUGGUUUACUGUGCCUCGAACCAUCCGUCAUACAUUGGGAAUGAAGUACAUAUGAUAGUGUUGUCUUGAAUUCCUCCCAAAGUAACAAUGCUUCAUGGAAGUCAAUGAAGGAAAUUCUUUAGACAAUAAUUCACUAUGAAGAGCCAGUAUCAAAAAGUGUCUUGACCAAAUUAGCGUCUCUGAUGCUCGGAGAUAGGUAGUUGACUGCUAUCGCUAAUGUUGGAAGUGAAUAACAUGCUUCUCUACCCUUGGAAGUCUUUCGCCCUGAAUCUCGGGAUGAGAUUCUUUUAAGCCAGGUGUUUGCCACUAGUUAGACCUUAGGUUUUGAGCUCAAACAUGCCAAGAUAAGUGGUGAUGUUCAUGUUAAGGUUAAUCCAUGAAAGUGAGCCUCAAGUCAAACUUAGAGAAUGCACCCUUGCUUACAUAUAGGCUCUUUUCAAAGUGCAUGCUCGGGUGAUGUUUAUGGAACCUCUUUCAUGUGUUCCACAUCCAUCACGACCUAUGGUGAUCACUCAAAAAGUUUCAUGACGUUCGGAAUCAAAAGGUCACAUGAAAUGAUAAGUUACAUGCUUGUUGGAAUGACCUUAUUAAGUAAAUGGAACCAUGGGUCAUCAACCAAACCUUGCAACCUUGCCCAAAUGACUCUAGAUGAACUCUACAACAAAAGUCAUGAAGGGUUCAUGUUGAGCUUGUGCCCGGAAAGUGCUUCAAUUACCCUAAAACCUUAGUGUGAGCUUUAUCAAGUUACUACAUUGACCAAGCUGAAAGUUUGACAUCUAUACUAGUUCUAAGGUUUGACCUUAAAUGAAAGUUGUAGUUUAACUUCUGUAGAACAAACUUUGUUUGGUCAUAACCUAGUUAAAUUGAGCUUACAAAAUUUAAUGCAGUGCUGUUUUGGAAGUCCAGAAUUUUGGCUAAGUCCUCCAGGUGUUCAGUUUUAGGUAUCCAUGUUGGGAGCCUUGUAUCUUACUAAAUAGGCCAAAACUGUAUAAGGCCCUUUAAUAAAAGUUGCAGUUCAUCACGUUGGCAUUCCGCGUUCUCCAAAUUUUGUUAAACAACUUGUUUGGGUCCCAAAAUAAAAGUUUGGAGUACAUAUUGUGGACAAGAGCAUACCAAAAGAUGACACCAGUUUGACUUCAUUUUGGUCAUCAAUUUUGAGUUUUACUAAUCAUUAUCAAUUCAUUGACACUCAAGGGUUGGCAUCAAAUUAUCUACUAAUCUACAACCCUAAUGACCAUAACCCUUAAACGAAAAACGUAGAGCACCACGAGGACAACAAACUUUGUUUUUGACACCAGAACAAUGGAGAGGCCAAGCCACCUCUAGGUGGAGCCGGCCAGCCCCUCCUGCUAGGCUGGCCAGCCUCCCAUGAGAGGAACCCUCUCCCCCCUUCUAGAGUAUUCCUCUACCGCCUUUGAGGAUCAAUCUUUGUCCUACGUGAAGUCAGUUUGAUCAAACGGCUGGCGUGCAUCCCACCGGGCUAUAUAAGUGGAGCCAGACCUCCUCCUGAAAACAUGAGAGAAAUCGUUCAAGUCAUUCAAGGUUGAGCAGGUUGAAGAUCAAGUCAUCUAGAGCUUCAAGUUAUAGUUCCUCAUAGCCUUCUAGUUCAUAGUUUAGCAUAGUUAGAUCUAGAUUAGACGCUGUCAAGGUGUGUUAAUCAGUCUUGGAUUCUACAAGUUGUCAAGCAGUGAAGAUUCUUGUAUAGUUCUUAAGCUUUUCUUUUCUUGUAUUAUCUGUGUUCAUAUGAUAUUUACUAUCAACAUUGUUCUUCAUCUUAGUUUAAUUAUUAUGUUUAUUUUCUACUUCAAUACAUCUAGUUUAGUUGGUUUACUAUUAUAUUCACGCACUGGUUCGUAUAGCGCUCAUCUAGUUGAUCAUAUCGUGACUGGUAGGCAAUAUGUAGACAUGGUGUCUAGAUGUUUUGCUUAUCCGCGGAUAUCUCUAGUUGCGCCGGGUAGUGAGGCAGGUCAUGUGAUAUGACCACGUCAGUAAGCACGAUGUCACAAGCUCCAAGUCAAGCUACAACUACUCAAGUUUUACCUACACCAACACCAGCCCAAGUCAUCGAUGGACCGGUUACACAUAGUCGUGCAAAGAAGCUACAACAAGAGGUCCACGCGCUACUUUGUGAGGUUCACUUUAACAUUAAUAAGAAUUAUAUACUACCUAAGUGUUUUACUUUGAUUGUACUAAGGUAUAUUGAAGAAGAGAAGAAUAAAUGGGACCCUGAAGAACGGACCAGUGCAAGUCCUAGAAGACACUACAAAACGGACUAGAGAGUCAAAAACACGCCAGUAGAAGUCAAGAACGGACCAGUGCAAAGAAAUCUUCAUAACCUUUUACUCACAAAAGCUAUGAAGGCCCAUGAGGACUUGUUGGAAAGCUUGUCGAGUCUGCUUUAUAAUGCCUCAAGUCUCAUCUCAUUUGGACGUCGCAAUCAAGAGUUAUGCAUGGAUUAGUCAAGACUGCUCAGCAGUCUAUCGUGACAGAAUGUUGGUAGAACUUGCCGUGCAAAACUGUACCAAUCUACAACGUUUCAUGGUGCCUGGAAUAUAUACAUUGCUCGGAAGCUCUUGGAGUCUAGUUUCACAUCCAAGAAACGGUUCAUCAUUUGGACUUCCCAAUAAGAAGUUAUGGUCAGUUUAUUUGAAACUGCUCUGGAGGCCAACAGUCACGCGAAGCCAGUUCGGGAAUCCAUUCCGAGGGGACCUUUCACAUUGCCUUCCCUCAGAAACUCUAUUUCGUUUUCAUACCUAUCUAGGAGGGUUGUACCUAGUAUAAAUAUCCCGUACCUCUAAGCUAUUAGCAACCUUUGAUCAUUUUGAUAAACUACGUGAUAUUGUAGCCGCGCUGCUGAGUGUCUUACACAACUUUUUUUCUUCCUUGUUCUUCAUGGACUUGUGAAGUGAAUCCUCUAGGUUCCCCUACUUCGUGCUCUACGGCUUCCAUUCGGCUGCGCCGUAUUGUGUGGAUUAGUUCCGGAUUGUGGUUCUACGGUCGUUCGGAGAUCGAGUCGAAGUCUUUGCGGUUUCGGUACCUCUCUCCCCGUCGCUUGGUCGCAUCCAACCUUUGUCAGGUAUAAAGCUUGUUAUCCGCUGUUCGCAGCAAGUUAUUCUUGAUUUUUUUAUCUACUGUCGUGAAGAUCGGGCCACCCUCUUACCGAUUCAUAUCGGUAACCUAUCAACUGGUAUCGAAGCUUUCGUUGUCACGGUAGGUCUCACAAUCAUCUACAUAUCUAUCUUUAGUUUAUCUAUCGUUUGUUACUAUUUUGUUCAUCACCUAUAGUCCACUGAAAUAGCCACAAAAAAAUCCUUGAGCCCUUUGACAGUACUGUUAUCUUGUGUUUUUGUGUUCAUCAAGUUGCUAGUCACCAUCUUUAAAUAUAUUGUGUUGUGUUUUAUUUGUUAUCCGCACCCCUAUUAGUAUAAAAAAAAGAGUUCAAAAAAAAAUCAAAAAAAAAUCAGAGAAAAGAAAAGAGAAAGAGCAGAAAAGUAGAAGAAGAGGAAAGGGGAUGUAUUGCGGUUUGCUCACUGGAAAAUUCAGUUUACAUAUUCAGAUUCUUGUUGAUUUUUAUAACAGCAACAUUAUAUCUUUUGAGCACAUCAAACCACUUGAUUUUCAGUACCGUAGCCUCCCUUGUUUAGCCACCUACAGCUCCACCAAAAAUUGAAACCAGGACAUUUGACUCGUAGUCCUUACGACCUCGGAAUCACUUUUGUUGAGCUGCUACACUAGCACAAUUCACUGUCCUUGAGAACAGGAAAGAGCAUUGGUAAGUAAGAGGUGAGAUUGUGUGAUUCCACAAAUUUACCCAUUCCACUAUAUCUUGCAUGUGCUAACGUGCCAGGAUCCAAUUCGAGCGUUCGUGGUGGUCGAUAUGGAGAAAAAGAAACAUCAGUUUCGCAGGCUGAGUUACGCCAACUACAAAACUCACUAGUGGAUGCCAUGGAGAAGAUGUUUGAUGAGCGUCUUCCUGUGGUGCGCGGUCGGGCUAAACAACAUAGCUCAGCCAACUCUAGUCGUGGUCUCUUUGGCCACAAUAGACAACAUGGAGGAGGUGCUCUUGGGCAUAGCAUUCGCCCCCGUGUGCUCAUUGAUGAUGAAGAUUACUGUGUGUCCCCCAAAAGAAAAAUUCAGCAAGAGUGCCACCAACCAAAAUUGAGUGAGAGAAAUCAAAAGGAAAAGAUGAAACAUUCCACCAUACGUGAGAAAGAGUGGCACCAACCAAAAUUCAGUGAGAGAGUUCAAAAUAAAAAGAUGAGAGAUUCCACAAUGUUUAAGGAGAGCCACAAAAUUCUAUGUGAGAGUGAUCCACAAAAAUUGAGAGAACAAAGAGAUGAAUCAUGUGAGGAAUUAUUUACUUCUAACAUCAUAAUACCUUCUAUUCUUGUUCCUUUUGCGAUGCAAGUUCAUGAAGAAAAUGAUGUUGUGAAUUAUGAUCAGGCCCCAAUCUUCGAUGAAGAAGAACAAGUGAUUGUCAAUGACAACGAUACACAUGUAUAUGUGGCUUCACAAAAUGUUAAAGUAAUUGUGCAUCAAAACCUAUGUGAGAAUGAGAGCCACAUUGCCAAAAUGAGAGAGAGUGAAAACAAAAGUGAGUUGAGUGAUUCCACCCACUAAAAGGUUGAGAGUGUCAACAAUGAGAGUGUGAGGGAUACACCACAGAAAAAUAGAUAUUUAAAAUGCAGGCCAAGUGAGAAUAUCUUUGAAACUAACACUCUCAUCUCUACUUCUAGUUUUGUCUUUCCAAAUGUGCAGGUUGGUGAUGAGAAUAGGGAAAAGAUGGAUGCUCAAGACAACACCAUACUUGUUGAGAGAAAUGAAAAUGUAGCCAUUCAACUAAACCCAUUGUGUGUUGCCCAAAACCUGAACCAUGACAUGGAUAACGGUAAGAUUUCAGAGGUGCAAUCCUUGGUACUUGCAUCACCAAAAAGUCUAAUAGUUAUUGAAAAUAAAUCAGAUUUGAGUUUGCAAAAUAAAAUGACACGUAAUUAUGAUAAUACACAUGGUUCAAAUGGGAUUAACCAUACACGAAAUAUUUGCACUGAUUUGAUUAUUUCACAUGUUCACCCGUGUGCUGAAAUUUUGCAAGUUGAUAACCAAAGUUCAAUCAAACAUGAUCUUUGAAAGGAUCAAGAUGCCCAAGAGGGGGGUGAAUUGGGCUUCUCUAAAAAUUUAAGCAACCUAUAAGCUCCAAUUCAAUCCCUUGUGCCUAGUGCGACUAGAGAGCUACCGGAUAAAAGUUUUGCAACCUAGUUCCAAUCUUAUUCUAGCAUGGCAAUUCUAAGAAUGUAAAUACACAAAGUAAAUGCUAGAAAGUAAAGGAGUAGUUGAACAAAGUGCUCGGCGAUGUUUUGCUGAGGUAUCAGAGAGUCACCACUCUCCACUAGUCCUUGUUGGAGCACCCGCGCAAGGGUCUUGCUCCCCCUUGGUCCGCGCAAGGACCAAGUGCUCUCUAUGGGCUGAUUUUUCGACACUCUGUCGCGGUGAAUCGCCCAAAACCGCUCACAAGCUUGACACGAGCCUCCCACAAGAACUCCGGGCGGUCUUCGUGCCUCCAAUCACCACCAAACCAUCUAGGUGAUGGCGAUCACCAAGAGUAACAAGCAAAGAACUCUCACUUGACCCAAACAAGGCACUAGAGAGUGGUGGAUGCACACUUGACUCUUGGAAUUCAACUAGAGAAGGAUUCUCACAAGAAAUCACUCAAAUCUCAAUCCUCUCUAGGCUCUUUCUACUCUCUUGCUCCACAACAAGUUACUCAGAUAUUCAGAUGGGUAAGAGAGCUCUCAUGGAUGAGGUGGAGGAGUAUAAAUACACCCCAUGAAGUCCAAAGCUCGGCCAACCAUUUUCCACUGAAAACGGGAUCACCGGACGUUGUUGAUGUUGCGAGCGUCCGGUGACACUUCAACAGCUAACAGUACUGUCUCUGACAGGUCACCGGACGCUACUUCCCAGCGUCCGGUGGCGCAGUCCGGUGCUCCGAGGAGUUUUACAACCUCCCUGUGUUUAAGACCGGACGCUACCCGGUGCAUCCGGUGCUCGGGGAGAGUUUACAAACUCUCUGGGUAUGGGGCCGGACGCUGCCCGGUGAGUUCGGUGCCAGCAUCCGGUGCCUAACCCUAGGCACCAAACCCUCCAACGGCUAAGUGACCUCACCGGACACACUCACAUAGCAUCCGGUGCAGCGUCCGGUGCCUACUUAGGCACCCUAACUUCGUCGAAAAGUGACCAUUCCAAAACGAAGUUGGUUUCUCUCGAUCUAAGGACUAUCUCUGAGCUGCCUAGUGCUAGGUUUACCAGGUGAGCACCACACCUAAACCUAAAGCCUUGCCUAAGUCAAGCUACUAGAUCAAAGCCCCUCUUAAUAGUACGGUCAAAGGAAAACAAAGUCCAAAACUACUCUAAGUGCCCUUCGUCACCAUAUGGCACUUAGACCUAGUCUAGUCUUGAUGAUGUUCAUCCAUCCUUUGAAAACCAAAACGGUUUUCACUAUUAAGUAGGCAUGUACAUCCCUGUUCAUCGAGUACCUAUUACCAUGACCUCACUAAUGACUUUGCCUCUGCAAAACACACGUUAGUCACAAUAAUCAACAUUGUCAUUAAUCACCGAAAUCAUUAGGGGCCUAGAUGCUCUUUCAAUCUCCCCUUUUUUGGUGAUUGAUGACAAUAACCUCGAGUAUGAAAGAGAAUGAGGUUUUCAAAAGACUUGGUUUCUAUAAGCAUGAGUCAAUAAGAACAAAAAGGGAUUAGGCAUGCUAUAUCAACCAAGUCUACCAUCCUGCAUCCAAAAAUGUGAGAUGUAUACAACAGGAUAUAAACACAUAUGGCUCAUAGUACAAUGGAGUAAAAACAUGGAAGCAAAGUAAUAUGAGCCAAAAACAUGACAUAAAGAUAUCACAGAUAAGCAUAAGUCAUGUCUCACAACCAUAAGCACAAUCAUAAGUGUAUCUAACAAGAGUAUCUCACACGAAUGCAAUGCAUAAAACGAAAACAUGAUGCAUAGAGUAGCACACAAAAGAAUCAAAGAUCAAAAGCCCAAAGGCCUCUCUAGCUCUAGCUCCCCCUAACUCUCAUACUCUCAACUCUCUCUCCCCCUUUGGCAUCAAGCGCCAAAAACCUAAGACGAAGGAGCAGAGGAGUCCCUCGGCACGGCCUGAAACUGUGCUGCAUCUCUGAUCCAUCGGCCGUCGAGUCGGAGGAGAUAGAGUGACCAUCUGAAGCUGCACGUGCUGGAGAAACGGUCUGGGUCAGCUCUGUGGGGUCUGAAGUUGUCACGGGCUGUGUUGGCUGCUCAAGUCCUGCUGACAAGGCUGGCACGGACUCUGUCGCUAUAGCUGACGUCUCUGGUAUGGUAGAGGAAGGUGCAAGCUGCUCAGAUGAAGCUACUGACGACGACAGGCGCUCUAUGGUGGUAACUGGGACCGUAAAGCUGCAGGAGCGUGCAGGGGUGAAGGCGUAGGGUCUCCAGUCUGAGCACUGUAAGAGAAACUGAUGUGCUGGCUUGCCGACGAAUCCAACACAAGUUGUGACGCUAUCGCUGACUGAGGUGUAAAUCCUGAGCGUAGAGGCGUGAACUGAGGCACCUGCUCAAAGCCAGAAGAUAUGGCACCCUGAGAAACCUGGUGCUGCUGCAUCAAGAAUGGCUGACUCUGAGUAGGGAGCUGGAGCGGCGGCUGGGACUGACUCUGUGGCACUGGAGUAGGAGGCCUGACUAACGAAGUGCCUGUGAGCUAUAUCUGAGGAACCUGAAUCCCUUAGGCGGCCAUAAGAGUGGCCGUCAUCACCGUCUGCUGAGCCUAGAACGCAAGCUGCUGCUCCUGGAAGGUUAGAAGCUGCAUCUGGAGCUCAUCCUGUUUAACCUGCAUGGCUGCAUUGAUGGCAGCCUGAUCCCUGUCUCUCCUGGCCUGCUCCUCAGCUGCCCUCUACUGGUCGGCUCUCAUCCCCUCUAGAAUAGCAAGCAGAGCGGGGUCUGAAGCAUUCGAGGAACCUCCUGCCUCGUGGUCAUGCGGCCUCGGAGGAAGGUCUGGCACUGGAAGACGAUAAUCAUCGUCUGAGCUGUCUGAAGCGAAGUCAAACUCCUCCUCAGCCUCGGCGUCUACAAACGCCCCAAUGGCGAUAUCCAGCUCCUCCUCAGUAUCUGGAACUACUACUGAACUGUGAGUGCCCUUGGGAGAAGGUGGUGGCACCUGGCAACAUGGUGCUUGAGGAGGUGGCGGAGCUCUAAGAUCAUGAUGCGCUCUCAGCAUCUAUCGGGGGUCAUAGUGAGGGAACACGGUGUCGGAGUCUGUCAGCUCUCUCUGCAGGUUAGCUGGGAGAGGCUCUGGCCUAGCACAAAGUAUAAGCAAAGUGAUCCAGUGGGCGUAUGGCAGCUGACGACGACCCCUGAAGCUCUCUGAAAUCGUGUCCUGAAUAUCUAACACAAUCAAAUCCCACAAAGCAAAUGGCGUCUUCGAGAUCAGGUGGGCUACCAACCACUGCUGAAUCCUGGUGAAGUCGUCUCUGUAGCCUGUCCUGGGAAAGAGCGUCUUCCUCAACACAAAGUCAAGGAUCCUAGCUGGGCGAGUCAAGUCUCCCAGUGUCCUGCUGGAGCCCUCUCCGAAGGGCUGACAGAAACAGGGAGCCACGAAGUCAACUCGUGGUAGAGCACCACCGUGAGGACGUCGAGGGGGCUCAAAGUUCCCGUAGCAAAGCUGAUGGAUCCGAGUGGAAUAGGCUCUUAAUCCAAGAACCUCUCUGGCCCUCUCUGCUGUCACUCUGUAGUCAGUGCCUGCAAGUGCGUAGUGGAUGCAGCUAUGGUCUGGUGAAACCCACACUGAGGCAUAGAACUCUCGGACCCACUCCUCACAAUAAUUACCUUGUAGAGCAAGUAACUCUAGGAGACCGGUCAGAUAGGUGAAAUACUGUCUGAUGUCCACACCGACCACGUUCCCAAGUAUCUCAAGGUCGAGCACCCUGUGCUCCCUAAACUGAGCCUGUGAGCGGACAAGAGCCUCAUACAUAUCCUCCUGAACCACUGUAUACAAUCUGGUACUAGCUCUCGGAUCCCUGGAAGCUGGAAACCAAGUCGGAAAGGGAACAAACCGCAGCUCCUGGAUCUCUCGAGUGGAGACCUAGGUGUAAUCCUUAUGUAUCCUCACUGGCGCUGAACGUGGAGCUGGAGUGCCACGUGCUGGAGUGGAGCGAGCAGUGGAGGUUGACUGACCCUGCGUACCAGUCCUGGGGAUGGCCUAGGUACGAGUGCGAGCCGACCUCCUAAGGGGAUGCUCCUGCUGCUGUGCCUCUGUCUGGCCCUCUGCCUGAGCCUCUGUCUUAGUCUAAGACUCUGGGUCCUCCUGAGCUGACUCUCUGACUGCAAUCCUGACACGCUGACCUCCUAGCAUGAUAGUGCCAGGAGGAGAUCCAUGGAGUGCCUCAACCUCAAGAACUGCACGCCUCUGCCAUGGCGUGAGAUCAGCCCCAAUCCUUAGGGCACCAGAGCGUCCACCCCUCUCUGCUGCCUCAGCUGCUAUUGCAACUGCCUCUGCUACCUCAGCCUCUCGGUCACUGGUCUUCCUCUUCUUGGUGUCUAGCUUCUUUCCUUUGCCCUUCUCUAUGGUUGACAAGCGACGGGGAGGAUCACCUCCACCAUCACCUCCUGGAGAACCACCAGCGCUAGCUGCCGGACCACUAACAUUCUUGCAACAUGCCAUUGCAAGAGAUCUGCCUCUGAACGACUGCCGACAACUGAGCAACUGACCAACUGCCAAGGGAGAUCAACGUGCUGCAAGAGAUGGAAUAGAUAGGGUAUACAAAAGCAAACAUAAUAGCUAGAGAUGAGAGACCCUGUAGCUCGCACGAUUUAGAUAAAGAACGAGCGCGAACUGCUUACAAAUGGGUGCAAAGAUGCAUUCCGGAUGAAUAAUCGUGAUCGAGAAUCACCGGAGAACGAGAACCCACUUCACAAGGUGCUACAAGGAUAGAACGAAUCGAAUCGUCGUCAAAAACAACAAUUAGAUCCAUUCACACAAUAAAACGAACACCUUGUGGGCAGGGUUAAAGACACUCACCCCAAAGCCUAAACUUCACGAAGCCAGGCGCCCGGAGCGAGGUGAGGGAUGAGGGGAUCCUCGGGGAGAGAUCUCGCACGGGGGAGAAGAAGAAUCGCUGGAGAAAACCUCAAUCCACCGGCGGCUGCGGCAGAUCGGUGAGAUUUGCUAGGGCUCGGGCGUGGCUGGGCGGUUCGCGAGGAGAGAGAAAGAGAACUACCCGCGAAAAGGCUUAGACGCGCGGGUUAUAUGGGCUGUCCGCGGGAUCACCGGACGCUCUUAAUGUGGAACCGGACGCGUCCGGUGUCCACCGGACUAAAACACAAAGAGCUCUACAGAUGACCCGAUCACCGGACGAUGGCCACCGGACGCUGGCCUUAGCGUCCGGUGUCCUAGGCUAAGCCUGGCUGAGCACCGGACGCACAUCACCGGACACAACAGGGACACUAUUCCUGCGUCCGGUGAGUGCUGUCCAACUGACUCACCGCACCGGACGCAUCAAGGCAGCGUCCAGUGCAUCGUCCGGCGUACCCCUGAGCAGUUUUUCAACUUCAAACUUCGCCUGACUUUUACCCAACCAAGUUCCAACUUCAAGAAGACUCAAAUAAACACAAAUUGGAACUGGUAUGAGUGACCUCUCUCAAACCCUCAAAUUUUCACAAAUAUUUAGCCUUAGGCUUAGUAAUUUUUAUGAAAAUAGUCAAGUGAAAACACCGAGGAGCAUCGUGUGGCCAUAAAGCUAGGGGUUUAAAUCAUAAUGAGCUUUGAAUGCUCCCCCUAUCUAUGGACGAACACAGCGGAUGCUCAAAGAAUAACCAAAAAGAAACGGUCAACUAACAAGCAUGCAUAUGAUAUGAGGUGAAAUGCAAUACUUGACAGUAAACUAAAGCUUGUCAAGUUUGAUCGAAAGUUAAGCUUUUUCACACACACACGGGGGUUAUCUUAACCAUGUUAGACAAGCCCUACACACAAUUCUUUUUGUAUUUUUAGUUUUGGUAUGCAUGAUAUGCAAAGCAAAAACUAUUGACAAGGUCAACACACAACUUUAUUUUUUUGUGAAGUUAGAAAGAUCAAGCACAUUAAGUUCAUUUCUCAACAUACAAAACUUAGCUUCAUCUAGGGGUUUUGUGAAGAUAUCCGCCAAAUGAUUUUCCGUUCCCACAUUCUCUAGAGAUAUGUCACCUUUAGCAACAUGAUACCUAAGGAAGUGGUGGCGGAUGUCAAUAUGUUUUGUGCGGGUGUGUUGAACAGGGUUGUUAGCAAGUUUUACGGCACUUUCAUUGUCACACAACAAAGGUACUUUGUCUAGUACUACUCCAUAGUCUAGCAAAGUUUGUUUCAUGUAGAGUAUUUGUGCACAACAAGCACCGGCGGCAAUGUAUUCCACUUCGGCCGUUGACAAAGCAACACUAUUUUGUUUGUUUGACAUCCAAGAGACAAGUGAUCUACCUAGGAAGUGGCACCCUCCGGAUGUGCUUUUCUAUCAAUGCGGCACCCGGCAUAAUCCGAAUCGGAAUAGACUACAAGUUGGAAUCUUGCACCUUUGGGAUACCACAAGCCUAGGCAAGGUGUGUAUUUUAGGUACCUAAGAAUAUUCUUGAUGGCAAUCAAGUGAGAUUCCAUAGGCAUUGCUUGAUAUCUAGCACACAUACACACACUAAACAUGAUGUCGGGCCUAGAUGCGGUGAGGUAGAGUAGACUUCCAAUCAUGGAACGAUAGAGAGUCUUGUCAAUUGGGUUACCUCCCUCAUCUAAGUCGAGAUGCCCAUUUGAUGCAAUGGGAGUCUUGAUUGGCUUGCAAUCCAUCAUCUGAAACCUCUUGAGAAGAUCUUGUGUGUACUUCUCUUGAGAUAUGAAGACCUCUUCCUUCAUUUGCUUGACUUGAAAUCCUGGGAAGGAGGAUAGCUCGCCAAUCAUGGACGUCUCAAACUCCUUGGACAUCAAAUCACCAAAUUCCUUGCAAAAAUCUUCAUUAGUUGAGCCAAAAAUAAUAUCAUCAACAUAAACUUGGCAAAUAAAGAUUUCCCCAUUCAUUUUCUUGGUGAAGAGUGUUGUGUCAACUUUACCAAUCUUGAAGCCCUUCUCAAUGAGGAAGUCCCUAAGACUCUCGUACCAAGCUCUAGGAGCUUGCUUGAGACCAUAGAGAGCCUUGGACAACCUGUAGACAUGCUUGGGAUACCUAGGGUCUUCAAAACUGGGCGGUUGCUCAACAUAGACAAGAUCAUUAAUAUAACCAUUCAAAAAAGCACUUUUCACAUCCAUUUGAAUCAACUUGAUAUCAUGACUAGAUGCAUAUGCAAGUAGGAUACGGACUGCUUCAAGUCUUGCCACCGGUGCAAAGGUUUGACCGAAGUCAAGACCUUCAACUUGUGAAAAGCCUUUUGCCAUGAGCCUUGCUUUGUUGCACCACUUUGCCUUGAUCAUCCUUCUUGUUCCGGAAGACCCACUUUGUUCCAAUCACUCUUGCAUCUUUGGGUCGCUAUUCGAGUGUCCACACUUGGUUGCGAGAGAAGUUAUUCAACUCCUAUUGCAUUGCAAUGAUCCAAUCCGCAUCACGAAGAGCUUCUUCUAUAGUAUUUGGUUCAUCUUCAAGAGAUACAAAAGCGUGAUGUUAAAUAAAUAAAGCAUGUCUAGAGCGUGUAGUUACACCACAUGAUGGACUCCCGAUGAUGAGAUCUUGAGAGUCAUCUUGGAGGAGAUGUGAUGAUCUUCUUGGAGCCACUUGAGGGGUUGCUUGGGGAGCAUCAACAUCUUGUGCUUUUGCCACCGCAUGCUCAUGAGUGACUUGAAUAUCUUCAUGAGCAUUUCUCACAUCCUUGUCUUCAUCUUGUGGUACAUGUGAGGUAGAUGGUGCCUCAAUGACUUGCACAUCAUCAUCUUCUUUUGGCUUGAUGUCUCUCACCGGCAUGUUCUUCAUGGCAUCCCUCAAUGGUUCACCACCUACAUCAUCAAGAAUAUCACUUGCUCCUUGGGAGCCAUUAGUUUCAUCAAAUUGAACAUCAAAUGUUUCUUCAACCAUGUUUGUGGCAUGGUUAAGGACCCUAUAUGCCAUGGACUUUGAUGAAUAGCCAACCAAGAAGCCAAUGUCACAUCUUCUUUGGAACUUGCCCAAGUGUUGGUGCUUCUUGUAGAUGUAGCAUUUGCACCCAAACACUCUAAAGAAUGAGACAUCGGGCUUCUUCCCAUUGAGCAACUCAUAUGGUGUCUUCUCUAGGAACUUGUGAGGAAAGAGCCGGUUUGAUGCAUAGCAUGCGGUGUUGAUUGCCUCGGCCCACAUCUUCUCCAAAGUGUUGUAGUUCAUCUAGCAUUGUUCCUGCCAAGGUGAUCAAUGUCCGGUUCUUUCUGUCUACAACCCCAUUUUGUUGUGGUGUGUAUGUUGAAGAGAACUCAUGUUUGAUUCCAACUUCAUCACAAUAUUCUUCAAUGUUGGUGUUGUCAAACUCUUUGCCAUUAUCACUUCUAAUCUUCUUGAUCUUGACAUCAAAUUGAUUUUGGGCAUUCUUUGCAAACUUCUUGAAUAUUGAUGCAACUUCGGCCUUGUCUUGCAAGAACAAUGUCCAAGUGUACCGGGAGUAAUCAUCAACUAUGACCAUGCAAUAUUUGUUGGCUCCAAGACUAGCAUAUGUGGUUGGUCCAAAUAAAUCCAUGUGGAGUAGCUCAAGCACUCUUGAUGGAGAGAGAUAGGCCUUGGUUGGAUGAGUGUUUGCAAAUUGCUUGCCGGCUUGACAUGCACUACAAAGCUUGUGUUUUUAAAUGUCACAUCCUUCAAGCCUCUAAUCAAUUCUUUCUUCAUCAACUUCGUGAGUGUGCCCAUUCCAACAUGUGCUAACCUUCUAUGCCACAACCAACAAAGUGAGGUCUUGGUGAAUAAGCAAGUCUUGACAUCAACUUCAUCGGAUGAGAAAUCAACUACAUAUAAGUUGUUGUGUCGGAAGCCUUUGAAUACCAUUUCGUUGUCAUCCUCCUUGGUCACUAUUACUUCUUUCUUUUUGAAUAAGCAUUCAAAACCAAGAUCAUAAAUUUGUCCAACCGAGAGCAAAAUGAAACUCAAUGAUUGCACAUAGAGCACAUUGGUGAUGGAGUUGUCAUUUGAUAUAGCAACCUUUCCUAGACCCUUGACCUUGCCUUUUGAAUUGUCACCAAAUGUGAUCCUCUCUUGGUUGUCAACAUCUUCAUCAAGUGAGGUGAACAUCCGGGGAUCUCCGGUCAUAUGUUGAGUGCAACCACUAUCAAUUACCCAAUGUGAUCCACCGGUCUUGUAGUUCACCUACACACAAGAGAUCAAGCUUGAGAUUUAGGGACCCACAUUUGCUUAGGGCCCUUGACCUUCAAUACUAGUUACUUUGGCACCCAAAUGUUUUUUGGCCUUUGCUUGUUGGGCGGCCCCAUGAAGCUAACCUUGACCUUGCCACUCUUGUCUUUCCUUACAAUGUAGUGAGCAUUGAAGGCAAAUGGUCUAGCAUGCUUGGGCAAGGGUGGUGGUAGUGGUGCCUUACACUCAUGAGCAAAGUGUCCUUCUUGACCACACUCAAAGCAUCUCUUUGGCUUUGGCUUGCUUGGUUGAUCAUGAGUGGCUGGUGACUUGAUGAGCUUUGUUUGAUGAGCCUUGUAGCCAAUCCCACUCUUGUCCAUCUUGAUGACGGUGUUCAUGAAAAGCUCACUUUGAAGGUCCUUCCCUUUUGUGAACUUUGCUAACCCCUUGGCUAGAUGUUCCUUCUCUUUCUUGAGCUAGCUAUUCUCUUGAGUUAGCUUCUUGAUGAUUGCUUCAUUGUUGCUAGCUAACUCAUCUAAGAUAAAUGUCUCAUCUUCUUCUUGUUUGUCAUACAUCAAACCAAGCUUGAGAUAUUGAUUCUCUUCCUUGAGCAACUUGUUUUCAUAUGCAAGCUUCUUGUCUUGAUCGAGUGACUCAAUCACAAUUGUUUUGUGCUUGGCUUGCUCUUGCAACUCUUUCUUGAGCAGGAUAAUUUCUUCCUUGAGCUUGAUAGUGUCCUCAUAGCUCUCAGCCACGACCACUUUCUUGCCCUUGCAUUCAACACAUUUGCUUGUGCUCUCCACAAAUAAGUCAUCACAAGAUGUGGCUACAUCAAGCUUAGCAACAUGGUUAGUAGCAACAUGUGUUUCAUCAAUUGCAAGUUCAUAGGCUAUCUCAAGGUUGUCAUAGUUUGCUUUUAGAGUUGUUAACUCUUCUUUCAUUGCUCUAUAUCUAGUGAUAAGCGCAUCAUGAACACUCUCAAGUUGAUCAUGUUUUUCUUUGAGCUCUUUUAAAGAGAGUUUGAGCUCCUUGAGCUUAGUGGUCAUGAUCUCAUUUUGGUCUCUAAGCUCAUCACUAGACUUAAGCUUUGCUAGAAGUGUUUCAUUUUCAAGUUCAAGCUUUUCAUUUUCACUUCUAGUCUUUCUUAUGACUUUUGUGUACUUGUUAAGCAAUUUUACAAGUUCAUCAUAAGAAGGUGAUUCGUAUUCACUAUCACUUUCACUACUCUCAUCCUCACUUUGUACCUUCCGGUCACCCUUAGCCAUGAGGCAUAGGUGUGUAGAGGAUGUAGAUGGUGGUGAAGAUGAUGGUGAUGAAGCAUCAAUAGCAAUGGCGGCAACCUUCUCAUCAUCACUCUCAUUGCUGGAGCAGUCACCACUUGAGCUCCCAAUGUCGGUGAGCCAAUCACCAACAAUGUAGGCCUUGCCAUUCUUCUUCUUGUGGUACUCCUUCUUCUUGCCACCUUUCUUCUUGUAUUGCUUCUUGUGAUUCUUCUCAUCAUCACUUGAGUCAUCAUGCUCUUUGUUCUUCUUCUUGUACUUGUCCUUCUUGGGCUUGGGACAUUGGUGAGCAAGAUGACCAAGUUCCCCACAAUUGUAGCAAUCCAUCUCAGAGAUGGGCUUCCUCUUGCUACUUGUGAAGAACUUUUUCUUCUUGGAAUGAAAAUUGACUCCAUUCUUGUUGAGCUUCUUCAACAUCUUGGUGGUUCUUCUCACCAAGAGGGCAAUAGAUGCAUCAUCAUUGUCGACGGUCCUUAACGCUCACAUUUAACAAUCAACUAAUCAUGGAAAAGGACCUAUAUGCAAUCAACACCUAGACUUAGGGUUUUAUCUGACGAAUUCUACGAGUUUUGGUGUUUGUCAAUUUCUGCAGGGGGUUAUCAGGAAAUACGGAAGAAAGGCCCACACGUCGGGUUCACAUAGAGAUAUUAGCGUGCCGCGCAAUUUUCUAUCAUCAAGAAGACUCCAGAAGACACGGGAACGAACAGGAAGCCGAGAGGGCUCAGGGACAGGGCGCCAGCCCAACUCCUUUGGGCGCUCGCGCACCUUUAGUGUCCAAUUCGGACCUGUUUCGCGGAUCACGCUCCACCGACCUAAAGGAUCAAGGAAAACCGUGCGAUUAAUGUCGGUUUGAUCCGACGGCCUAGAUUCAUCUGAAAAGACUAUAUAAGCAAGGCCCCCUGGCCCCUGGAGAGCAUACCUCUUCUACAGAAUCAAAGUUAGGGUUUCAAAUCUUCAUCCAAGUAGAGAGGAUCCCUCUAGUUCCUCUAGUUCUAAUUCUAGUUCUUCUAGUUCUAGUUCUAGUUAUUUCUAGUUGUAACUGGUUCAUUCUUCCUCAACAUUAUACUUUUGCAGCAACUGGUUCGUUCUUCAUCGUUCUCCAAGUUCUUCAAUUCAUAAUUCCUAAGUUCUUUAAUUAAUUUUAUUUACAUUCAAGUUAUUUAUUGGAUUCCUGCUUGCAUCAUGUGCUCUAGUCUUUAUAACGCUAGAGUUGUAAUUAAUAGAUUAGACGUGGUGUUUAGUCUUGCAAUUACCUCGAAUUGCACCCAAUCCUGCGGAUUGUUGCGGCAGCCCUAGGGUAGUGACAGCCCUAACGGUCGACGUAUUCCACCUCAUUCAGAUCGGUGUUUGUAGGACCGUAGUCAGAGCUUCCUAGCCCCCUUUUCAUCUCUUUCUGUGGUUAGUGUUCUGAUGUCUCGAAAUAAAUAAUCUUUGAAGUAAUUCUUGAUUCUUAGAUCAACUAGAGAACUCUCAGGAAACUUCCUCUCUUCCCACCAAAAAUAAUUAUAUAGUUAUCCUUGGGCAAUCUUGGAUCUUAAUUAGUACACUCAUGUUCCCUGAGGAAAAUCGAUACUCUGGAAUACUCCCCGGUGAAAGCUACAUCGGUAUCCGUGCGCUUGCGGAUUUUUCUGUUUGCGUUUAAAAUACCCAACAAGCUUUCUGGCGCCGUUGACGGGGAACGGUAGCUGUGCUAGUUUCGAACCAAGUCGUCCGUGUAUCCUUUUUUCUUUUCCUUUUUUACCACACUCACCUUGCCAUUUUCACCAGACCACAUGGAUUUCACUCCAAACAUUAAUGAGCAUGGAAUCUAUUUCAUAGCCACUUCAUUUACUCCAUACUCAUAUGUAACAUCUUUCCAAUCCAUUGGUCUCUCCAACAUCACCACAUUCAAGAUCUCCAACCCCCUCUUCCUUCCUAUUUAUAAAAACUUUAAAAGGGCAGUUGUCGAUGCAUAUGUCUAUAAUAAAUAUUGCAGAUCUCGUUGAGUUGAUCUUGAUAUAGGUUAGCGUUGGAGGGGAAACCACUUCACCGACAUAAAUCGAUGGUUUUCCAAGGACAAGCUUAGUGUCCUAAAAUAAGCACUGAUCAGGUCGUAACAUGAGCUUUUAAUUAUUUACAACACUACCUUGUGUAUUGAGCAUAUAAGGAUAAUUGUAAAAAAAUUCAGUUGGGUAUUCUUGUCACUAACCUUUCCAGGAUUGGAGCAAGAAGAUCGGAUGAAUGACAAGCACAAGGUAUGUCCAACCAAUCAUCAUACAACAUUGAAUUAAAUUCAUCCAAACUUGAAUUUUGCAAAAUUCAAGCUUGGGGGAGUACUUUACAUAAAAACAUCCUUUGCCGUGUUGCUAUGUUGGUUUUCCCUACCUUUGGGACAUGCUCACUUUGUUAAAUACUAAUCACACUACUUCGUCUCCACUUGAGUAGAUCUCUAUAAAUGUUCUCAUGCUACCUUUAUUUGCUUUAGUAUAUGUCUAGGUUUGGAGUAGUUUCAUUUAUCUCUUAAUUAGGCAUGAUGCUUAGUUUAGGAAUGAUGAUCUUACUUCUAAGGGAUUUUAAAUUAAGCAUGGUGCUUAGGUUAAAAUGCCCUCCUAAAACAAAUUAGACAUGGUGUCUAGGUUGAUUUUUGAGCUGAUAGUAUGCUAUAGUAGAUAUUGGAUAUUUUGUUGGACUAACCCCUGUAUGAAAACUUUCAAUAUCGACCUGGGAAGUCCUGAGAUAAACUCUCAUUGGAGACAAAGAGAGAGACACAUGAAGGUUAACAAUUUACACAAGGAAGGCAUAGCUCACAAGAGAUGAUCCAUGGAGGGUGCCACAAACACGUUGCACAACCGCUAAGAAAGGAAAGCUUCCACAAGGUGAUACUGUACCAUCACUCUUCAAGUAAGGUAACAUCUUAAGGUACUUGACUAUCACUUUUAUAAGCUUCUCCUUGGUUCUGGCAUUCACAUGAAUAAAAGAGACAAACAUGUAUGAUUUACAACUCUAGAUUGACCAACCCCAUCGAUCAAUAUGUUUAGUCCUUCCACCUUUGUGAUCCCACACUCCUAAUCAUAUGAACUNNNNNNNNNNNNNNNNNNNNNNNNNNNNNNNNNNNNNNNNNNNNNNNNNNNNNNNNNNNNNNNNNNNNNNNNNNNNNNNNNNNNNNNNNNNNNNNNNNNNNNNNNNNNNNNNNNNNNNNNNNNNNNNNNNNNNNNNNNNNNNNNNNNNNNNNNNNNNNNNNUCCAUCAACUUUGUCUUGCUCACUAUGCUUAAGGUUAGAGAAGAACAAAUACAAUUUUGGUUCUGUUGGUGUUUUCCACCAAUAGGGCCCAUGCAUUUGAUGCCUGCCUUGUCUCUAUGAGCAGGUACACUUCGAGCAAAAUAUGAAGGAGUUUUACAACUCCCAGACUCCACCAAGUGAAGAACCUAGAUCUAUGAGCACAAACACACUGGAGAUACUAGACACUCAGGCAAUCACUGCACUGAGAUGCUUGAGGACGUAACUACUGGAGUAACCCCAUUGUGGAAGUAAUUACUGAUCUUCUGCUAGUCAAGAGAGGCGAUCCAGGACGCCCCGUCAUCCCGAUCUCCAUCGGCAUGGUGGACUUCCCAGAAGCACUCUACAACUUUGGCUCCCACGUCAACAUUAUGCCCAAGGGAAUAUUGAAGAACCUCUGCGUCCGAGUUGGCCAUUCCUGAACACCUCGGGAGCUGUCAUCUACGCUAGUGCUGCCAAGAUCAGUUUCUACAUCAAGGGGAGGAAGGAGACGUUUUCCUUCAAGAACAAGACUACACAAUCUCAGAGCAAUCGUGACAUGAACCAAGGAAGAGGACCAAUAGGAGGAACAAGAACAAGAAAAUUUGGACCGAGUCAGCUAAGAUGGUCACUGCAGUUCAAGGAGGUCAAGAUCGUCGACUUAAGUCACUGUUCCUGAAGAAAAAGAAUGACCCAAUCACCUAUCAGCUCCCGUUCGGAACCAUGCCCCUAAAACCGACAUACAUUCAGCUCCAGAUGACAGAUCAGACAUUCUGAGAGGUUGAAGGUAUAGUAACUAACGUCCCUAUCAAAAUAGAUGAUCAUUUUGUCCAUACAGACUUUCAGGUUAUUGACAUGAGAGAAGACGAGUACGAUCCACCCACCAUCCUUGGAAGACCGUUCCUUAGCACCGUUAAAGCAAUCAUCUACAUUAGAACCGGAGAAGUCCACAUGCACUUCCCCUCUGAGAAGGUACGCCGUUAUUUUACUGACCUUAACUAUAUAGUUGAAGACUCUAAGCAGGUCAGGACAAGAAGAAGACGACGCAACCGCAACCAGAGGCAAAUCAUGAAGAAUGGAUGGGCAGACUACGAAGGAGAAGUAGUAAGGUCUGAAGACAUACAACUUGAACAGAACUAUCCUGAGGAGACCGUAGCACCGAGUCAGGUGUGGAGAGAGAAGAUACGUAUACACGAAGAGAAGGCGCUGCCGGAACCACCGACUACGCCAUCCAGCGAAUCCCAGGACGACUGAGAAAACGGAGAGUCCCGUUCGGAGGACUUAAAAACACCGAACGCCUUGCCAAGAGGUAAACUUGGUAGUUAUCCUUUUCCUUUCAAUUAUUUAAAAUAGUUUGCUUAGUUAAUCAAGUUCAUAUCAUCUUGAAAAGAAAAUAAAAAUGUUAAAAAUAGUAAGCCCCAUGUAAGUAUGCUCAUGGCAUAAAACCCAUAAGUACAUUCACUGUGGUGUCGUAAAAAUAAAAUAAAUAUAUUUCUGUCCUAUAAAAAUGAAAAUAUAAAAAAAAAUUUAUGAUCCUACCAAAAAGAAUAACAUUUAUUGAGGAGGCUCAACAUGAUAAAGGCUAAGAGAUUUUAUGCUAACACUUAACCAGUUCCACAAAGCUUUGUUGUCUAUUUGAGCUCCACAGAAUUCAAGGAUCAAAGAAGACUAGCAUAUGGAGGACAUCCUAAUCGCUGUCAGGGUGCUGCUGACAUUCAAAUACACCUCCGCCACCUGCUAGCUACGUCAGAAGAAAUUACGUCAAAAUCCAGCUUGGGGAAAGCACCCCCAUUUAUCCAGCUAAGUGUUCUACUCACGUUUAUACUUAACUCAAAUAAUAAAAAGAUGCUUAAUCAUAAAAACCCAAAUAAAGGUUUUGUGCUUAUAUAUAUAUCUUUGCUUAGUUUGCUAAAUAAAUAAAGCUUGCUAUGAAUCCUCAUGAUAAGCUCUCACAUGGAAAUGAUGAAUAGUUGCUCUGUCAUGACUAGUUCUCAAAAUUGAAAUCUCUCUCAAGUUUAGGCAUGACUGUUAUUAAUUAAGAUUUGCUCUAAACCUGAACUUGUGGGAAGAGUACAUGAUCUAAAGUCUAAGUCAUUAACGGAUACGAUAUGGGAAGGUUGAGCUGCUGUUUAUCUGUUCCUAGAGAUGCUAGAAUUCUGGAGAAUUUUAUCUUUGAAAAUCUUUAAAAUAUCACAUGAUGAGUUCUUGUAUGAUGAGAGUUUAAAUUCCUACCACAGCCAUAUAUACAUGCUUGCUAGACUUUGAGCCACACAUUUACUUUUUUACUGCUUAUGAGCAUUGAGUGUGGUCAAGCUGUAUAGACCCUUAGGAGUUUGUCAUGCGGUUAAAAUCAAGAUUCACUUGCACGUUCACUCACACAUGCUGCUUCUACUCUGGAAGUACGCAUCCACAUAUAUCCACCCAUUUCCAUCUCCAGAACCACCCAAAAAUAUUCUACUCCUAAUCCGGGAGAGAAUAACCAAAAACAUUCUGCUAUUUCUGUUUUCACCUGUGAAAUAAAUGCUCAAGUUAUUUCGGUUAAUACCACUUGCUACAUUAUUUAAAGAGGUCAGUGCUUUAAAAAAAGAGAGAAGAUACGAGGAAAUAAAAAGAGGCAAGUGCCCGGAACCUCGAAAGAAAAGAAAAAAUGAGACGAGAGGUAAAAAUGGACAAGUGUCCGACAGUAGAAUUAGGGGUACCAAAUACCCACCUGAGAGAAAAGAAAAAGAAAAUACAGAGCAUCUCAUUCUCCUCAAAAAGUUUCAAAAGAGCAAGAAAUGUAUGUAUCCCCUCAAAAGAGCACAAGCAGAAUUAGACUUUCACCAUUGUUAUCACCAUCAUCACCAUUCAUUUGCCACAGAUGCACAUCUUGAUUUCACUUAUUGACUUGUUCUUAUGGAUCCAUGGUUUGACUAUGCAAUAAAUGUCUUGUAAGUAUGUAUUAGUUGUCUCCCACCUAUGAGCUCUAGAUAUCAAAACCUUAUUAGAGUAGGGUGAGAGAGAAGGCAAUGCCACUAUGCCUCAUACCAAAAAUACCACAUACAUUGAGAGAAGGCAUACACCAUUACUGCCUUGGUAAGGAUCCAGAAAUACCACAAAAGAGAGACUAGAGAGAGUCAUACAAGGAAUAUCUGAGUUCUAUUUGAAAAUCUGUAAAAAC
rnacentral:lncRNA from 1 species